CUACUUCUUCGUGUAGUCAAACUAUUCAGUGUAUCAGUGAUGUCUUUCACCUUCGUGAUCAUGGAAUUAUUAAACUGAAAAGAAGUGGGAGGGAAAAUACUACGAAUAAUCCUUUCAGGAAUGAAUUUCCGGAUCUUACUAGGUCUGGCUUGAGCUUGAGUGUCUUGGAGAUUGAGGCGUAACUCUUCAUAAGCGAACUCGUCCAAGAUGUCAUCCACAUCGUAAGCCAAGUCCUGGAGAUCCUCCAACCAUUUCUUCACACCCAUGUUCUUGAUCUGCUUCUCCUCUGCAUCGUCCAACACUGCUUGGAUAUCAGGCAAUAUGGACUGCCACUGCUUGAGCUGCUGGUGGAGUUGGUAGUGAUCAGCAACAAAGUUGAGUGCAGAGUCAAGCGAUUUGCCCACCAACAGGUCCAGGAACCCAGAAAGAGCAGCCUCUCCAAUGACAGACAUGGUGGAAUUGUGAGAAAUAAGGUGACAAGAGAAAUCAGCAAAGCCAAAAUGGAAAGCCAGGGAACAAAAAAGAAGGAAAGGGAAAUGGAAUCUGCAAAAUUAGAGAAAGUUGAAGAAAUUGGCACAAUAUCCUUGAAGCAUGUAAUAUAAUAAUACAGACUAUGAGGCAAUGAGUUGGAAGUCACUGGGUACAGAUAAAGAAGCUGCUUUUCGUUGAAUUUUGAUGCUCUUCUUUUCUCUUGCUUUUGGUCAUUAUCCUAAAUUGACCUUCACCGUAUAUGUAAUUUAAUUAAACAUCAAAAUAUUAUAUUCCUCACAACUUUAUCGCCAAAAUAUAGCCAACACCAAUACUCUAAAUUUUUGAAUCACAAAUAUUUACAUUAUUUAGCAUUUAGAAAAAAAAAUCCAAAAUUAAAUGAUAAUUUUUACAAUUUUAUAAUUUUAAUAGUCUGUAUCUUUAUAAAAUUUAAAAGAUUAAAUCAUAUUUUUAUCAUAUUUAGGGGAGCAAAGUAUAAUUUUUAUAUUUACUAAUUUAAAAUUUUAAAAUAUUUAAAGAGUCUAAAUGAAAAAUUUUCCAUUUUCGAGGACCUUGCCAACCCCCUAGCUACGCCCGAGAUUGGUUGUAGCUAUAUUGUUAAUUAACUUACUAUUUUACUAUUUAUAGUAUUAUUUAAACUUAUGACUAGUUGAUGUCACGAAUUAAUCGGGUACCAACUUGGUUAAAGAAAAUAUGAAAAUGUCACUCUAGUCUUUUUAUUAUAAAAAUAAAAAUAAAAAUUUGUGCAUGGGAUUUUGAACCCAUACCAAUUAUAUUAAUAAAUUAUUAAUUUACCAUUCAACUAAAACUUUAAUAUUUUUAUACAUUUUAAUUUUAUUAUGCACACUUUAUUGUUAAUUAAUUUCAAACCUUAUGCUUUAAUUAUUUAUUGCAUGUUAUAUUCAAACGCACACUUAUAUUCUAAAUAUAUGAUUCCCGAACAUACAUGUGUGAUAAGUAUACUAAUUGUAACCUGUCUUCCUAAUUGUUGUACUAAUUUAUGAUUUGCUUUCUUACUAGAUUUGUUAGCCAAACUCAAAUUACCUUCCUUUUAGAUCAAUUAAUUCACUUAAACCUAACUCAGUUACAUUUCUUUCUAGAGUGAUUAACCAAAAUAAUCGACCCAACCGAUUAAACGAGAUUGUUUCUAUUAUUAUAUUUAUGAAAUCGUGAUCGUUUAGUUAUUGGUAUUUUUUGUUGGGGUUAGGUUAAUUUAAUUUUCAAUUUUUCUAAACUAAAAUUUACAUCUAGAUUUUGAUGAUGAUUGCUUGUCCACAGUCCAUGGGUUUCAAUUAUACCAACCUAUUCAAUCUUCUUUUUUCCCUAAUGCAUGUGAGGUCUCUUUUUCUUUUCCUUAGCAAAGUAUUUAGGGUCUCUCUUUUUUUGUCAAAGUAAUCUUUAUCUUCAAUAAGAUAUCCAUUAAUCUUUUUAUGUAUUUCUAAUAUACAUGCUAUAUAUAGUAAAAUGAUAUAUAUAUAUAUAUAAUCUACACUAAAUAUGAGAAGAUUAUAAAUAUAAUAAUCUAUAAUUUUUAUUUAUUUAUGCCUUUUUCCAACUACGACGCUCUGAUUUUUUUUAAUUUCUUUUUCAUUUUUUAAUCAGUCCUAUUUUAUGCAAAUUCAGAUGUGUAUAUGAAGAUAUAAUUUCAUAUAUUAUUUAUCAUUCACAUUCAAAUCCAAUUAACAUAAACUUGAAGAUUCAUUUCUAACUCAUUGGUUAUUAUUUGUAAUUUCAUAGUUUAGUUGAAAUGACAAAGUUAAGACUUUGCAGAUAUGAGUAUCUUAAUAAUUUAUUUUGGAUUUAAACUAUCUUUUUUUAUAGAUUUUAUAUAAACACAUAAAUAAAAAGACAAAAAGCAAACUCAUAAUAUUAUUUGUACCAUUUAAAUAGAAACCACUUUUUUUAAGUUAUUUUUCAACUAAAUUGAUCUUUAGUUAAACUCGUGACUCCAACUCAAUUAGAUAAUUAAAUAUAGUAUAAAUAACAAAAAUAGAAUUGAAAUUGACAUACACGUAUGUUGUGUGUAGCCUUAAAUACUCCUCUUUCAUGGUGUUCACCUCAAUUCAAGGGCGGAGCUAAAAAAAUUUUUUAGAGGAGGCUGAAAUAAAGUUGUAUAUUUUUACGAUGCAAAAAUAACAUUUUCCUAUUUUAAUAGCGUAUAUCUUUAUAAUUUUUAAAGGGUUAUAUUAAAUUUUUUUUAUUCUUGAGGGGGUCAAAGUGUAAUUUUACCACAUACUAAUUUAAAAAAUUUAAAAUUAUAAAAGGACUAAAGGUGAAAUUUUCCAAUGUAGGGGGAAUCGGGCCACUGCCAGCCCCCUUAGCUCCACCCCUUCCUCAAUUCCUUGCAACUUCUGCUUAUGUAACAAAAAAAAAAUUAGAAAUAUAAUUAUUACUGUCGACUGAGUCUUAACUCAGUUGGCAUCAAUAAUAUUAAAAAAAAUUUUGAAACAUGCUUUUUCAUUUAAAAUAUAAAAAUUAAAAUAUAAUUAAAAAACUCACUCACCUCAUUAUCAUAGAAAAAUCUUCAUUCACCUUUUAGCUGUUUUUUUAUUGAAAAAGCCCCUCAUCAUUUGACUUCUUUUUUUUUUCUUCUUAAUUUUGAAUUUAUUGAAUGAUGAAUUUUUACUUGUAGAGUUUAUUAAUCAAUAUUUUAUUAAUUGAUGAAUAUUUUUAUAUUUAAAAUUUAUUUAUAUAAAUAUAUUAAAUAUUUUAAAAAAUAUCGAUAAAUUCGAAAUAGUACAUGAAAUAAACUAGUAUCAAUACGUACCGAUUUUCAUAGAAAAGUGGUGCAUCAACCAAUGUGGUAAUGGCUACCUUGAAAGUAACUAUGUGGCAUACUUGUUUGCAAAUAAAUGGGUUAAACCAUGUUGAGUCAGUAUUGUGGGUAGCUAUAAUGUUUGAUGCUUUGUUUUCUAUGAAUAUUUUGUUUUGAUGCUUUUGAUAUGUGCUGAUAUUUGAGGAUAAGUAUUGGGAUAUAUAUGACUACCUGAAUUUUUAUGAUUUGCUAUACUGUGGUUGUUGUAUUAAUAAAUUUAUGUUUUGGAUUGAGAAAAAAAAAUAAGAAAUUCAAAACACAAAAAAGAAAGUAGGGAAAAUGAACACAAUGAUAUACGUGGUUCGAGAAUAAUCCCUACAUCCUUGGGUAGAACUAAAAAUGAAAUUCACCAUUAAAAAAUAGAGAUUACAAUGGAAUUACGUCAUAAAAUAAAAUGCCUCGCCAAUAAUUAUCCACAAACUUGGAGCAAUUUUUUAAAUGAACAUCAGCUAUACACUUUCCGCGUUUUGAGAAAUACCUAGCAAUAAUAAAUAACAAGUGACCAACAAUCUCAAAAUGUCAAAAACAAUACUUUAUUUAAAGCAUCCUAGCCUCUUAUCAAUCAUCAAUGGAGACCUAAGACAGAUUCAAGAUUUGUGUAGAUAGAAAUAGUUGAUACUAAAAGCAUUAGAAACCAAAAUUACCACGCUGUGCCGGUGUUGUGCCCAUAAGCUGGUAUUGCCCUCUUUGGAUGCCCACCAUUCAAGGGUUUAUCACCCAAAGGUACGUACACCUCCCCAUUGGUACCAUUUGGCCUUUUAUCUGCCACCAAUUUCAUGGUUCCCAAAGCUGAACGAAAGUACAAGGCUAAAUAAAUAACAUAUUUGGCUCCUCGACUACAACUAUAUACCAAGCACCAAAAUAUGCUCCAACACAGGAAAGGAAUGUCAGAAGAACAAAUUCUCCAUAUAACCUAUACUUACCCUAUCAUAAACAUUGAUAACAUCACAAUUGAAGCCUUUCAAAGCAGGGGAAAUUCAUAAAAAGAUUGAUAGAAAAUAUGCCUAUCUAUCGGACCGGAAAGCUGAAAAGCAACAUUAAAAGUGUUGAAGUUAGUUCCCAUGCAACGAGUGUAGCAGCAAUCGUUGCCAUGCAACUCACAUGGAGCAAAGAAGCAGCACAUGCAGAUCGUGAUAAAACGCAGCAGCUGGAGCCUAUGAAUGCUGUCCAAAUUCAACCUAUUUUGUUGCUUUGUAACUUAGUUCUUUUAGAACUUAGUUGGUAAAUCUUUUGAUGUAAUUUUAGAUGUUGAUUGACUGAAAAUUCAGCAAAGCAACUAGUACAAGCUAGUUUAGCAAUUUUCAAUGUAUUAAGUGGUGUUAGGUAAGUGUUUAGGUAGUAUUUUGACUUGUAAGCUUAACUCAUGUUUGAUAUAUGUAAUGACAACUUGCCAAUACUUGGUUAAUGAAAAAAAUCAGUUUGUUUUUCAUUCAUAUACUCUCCAUUUUUCUGCUUUCAAUUCUGUUCUUUACAAAAAGGAAAAUUUCUGCUUUGUUUCUUCUCUAAGUCACGAGACUUGCUGAUUAAGCUAAAGCAAAAUCAGCUUGUGCACUGCCACUAACACCAACAAAAAGAGAGCUGCAAUGAAACUAGUUCCAAACUUCUACAGUAUAUAUAUCAUUUGAUUCAUUUAACUCAUACCACAAAGUCAAAAGCGAAAGAGUCCAGAUAUAGUGAGUCACUUAGUCACUGCUAUUUUUGGCUAGAAAAUAAAGUAUUUUUGUACCUCUAAGUAAAAGCGAAAUAAAUAAAGUCACAUAGUCAAUCACUUACACAGUGAGUUUGUUUUUGUCGCUCAAUCCACAUGACCAAAGAAGCAAUUCCUCAUCCAAGUGAAUUGAUGCAGCCUUUGAAAAGGUUCAUGGUCUGAGAAAUUCGGAGAACUAAGAAGGACAUCUUUGAGAUUUGGACAGAACAAUAUUUUGGGAGCUCUGUUGUCUUACAUGUGUUAAAUUGAGCUCUCUAAUGCCAUGUUGUAACGUGUCCUGUAUCCCUGCAUUAAUCCUGGAAAGAUCAAACUAUCACGUAAAAGACUUGUUCUUCUGAAAAACCAUUGGUUAAUAGUACUACGAAAUGUCAAAUAUUUCAAAUCUCUAAUAUGAAAACCAUCACCUUCCCCUAUAAUAAAAUCAGUUAACCUUUGAAGAUUCGUUAGUUUAUCAAUUCUAGAAGGAAUCCUUCCAAUUGAGUACACACCUCUUAUAUCAAGAUAAUGCAAGUUGACAAGAUUUCCCAUCUUUGAAGGUAGAUUUUUUUUCUAAUAAUUAGAAAUUAGUGAAUAAUAAUGAGUAGUUUUGUUUUUGAGAAAAAAAAUAAAGAAAUAGUUUUAAUUGAGAAAAUGAUUUUUUAAGAAAUGUUGAAAUGAUGUAAUCAUCUCUAUAUUUAACAAAAUAAUAACAUUAGAUUUUUCAUGCUUUUACCAAUUGAGUUUGUAUCGCUUGAUUUGAUGUACCAAAUUUAAUUAGACAUUUUAUCAUAGUAUAAAUAAUUAUCUUGUAAUUAUAUGUAUUCAAAUUAACUUAAUUUUUAAAUCCGUCGCCAAUCUUUAUAUUUUUUUCUCUCUUAUAAUUAUAUUUUUACAUAAUGUUUUUAUAAUAUAUGAUAUGAUCAUAAAUUAAACCCUUAAUUGUAGUUAUUAAGCUUGCAUUUUUUCCACUAAAGUCAAGAAAUUAUUUUUUUAUUGGGAAACAUUUUAUAUUAGUUAAUUGUGAGAAAACAUUUUUAUGUGAAAGUGUGUUUAACUAAUUAUAUUAUAGAAAAGUAUAUUUGAUAACAGGCUCAGUUUACAUGUUUAUUGUGCUUAAAUUUGAUAAAUUCUUUAAUGAGAUAUCAUUAAUUUUGGAUUUAUUAUUUGAUUUUUUGAUUAGGUGCAAAAGGCAAACUUAGAAAGUAAAAAAAGAGUCGGAAAUACAAGUUGUUGUAAAAGUUUGGGCCAUGAUCUAUCUUAUUUUUUUGGUACAAUAAUAUGGCAAAACUCGAACAACAAACACAAUUAACGUGACUCAAACCCAAACCACACCUGGGACAGUGAACACCUUUGACCAUUAAGCCAUCAUAUAGGGUUCGGAAAAGAAAAAGAGUACUUUUAAUUUUUGAUUAGGAUGAUAUUUUAAUUUUCUAGUAUUUUAUCUUUUGAUAUAUUUUUAGAUAACACUCUAAUAUUGGAUUAGAUUAAAAAAUUUAAGUAGGAUUAGGCAUUUUGAGUUUUAUAUAUAUUCUAAAAAGGACAGCAAUUCAAUUGCUUUCUUUUCUUCUCUGUUUCUAAUUCUGUUCUUUCUUUCUCUGGCACAAUAUUGUGCCGCCACGCCACCCUCCCUUUUUUUUUUCCUUUCUUUUAUUUGUUUAUUUCUUUUAUUUAAUUUUUGUUGAACCCUUUAUGCUAGUAUGCUUAAUUUCAUGAGUAAUUAAACUUCCCAUCUAGCUUUUAAGUCAAGAGUCGAUUUGGGAGAGAGUUAUACGAUUCAAAAUCGCACUUUAAAACUUUUAUUUCAAUAUUUGUUAUUUCUCUAGUUUAGGAGAUAGAUACUAUCGUCUCAUAAGGUUGUUUUGGCAUCAAAUGAGUUCAUUGCUUUGGUUUUAAUAAAGAAUCAAUACUAUCGAUUGUUGUAUUCGAUCUACCAAAAAACACAUUGGCGUGUCUAAUUAAGUGGUUGAUGUAAAUAGUACUUUAACAAAUAACUACAUGGAUGGUGAGGAUGAGUAAAAACUUUUAAUAUCAUCCAUAUCUUUUAUAGGUGGUGUAUUGCUCUGUAGUAUAUACACUUAAUGGGUUGGCCCAUAUGAGUGUGUAGUGGGGCAGCUUCUAUGAGAUCUUUGGCAAUCUUUAGAGCACUCAUAAAAAUUAGGCACGCGCAUGACCUAUUAGCACACAAUCGCAUUGAAGAAUGAAUCAUAAAUAUAAUGUGGUAAGUGAGAAGGUUAAUUUGGAAAUUAAAUAAUAAAUUCAAAAACUUAUUUCAUCAAUUAUUUAAGUAAAUCAUGUCUCAUUUGUUAAAAAUUCUGGUUCACAGUCCAAAUGACAAUAUGAUUAUUGCAAUAUAUCGAAACACUCACUUAAAUUUAUAACUUAAAUCUUUGAAAUAUGUGGGAGAUUAUUGGAAGUUUUCAUGUAUUUUAAAGAACUACAAAAAUCUCACAUUGCUAAAAAAAAUAAAAAAAAAUCUUGAGUCAUUAUACUUCUUUGAACUUAAUAAGAACCAGAUUGAGAGAGUAGACACGUGCACAUUCGAGCCUUUUUGUUUUUGGACAUGUUUUUUUAUUGAAGUUUUGAAAGUCAAAUAAAAGUGAACUUGUAACACCUAUAUGCUAAAUAUAAUUUAAUCGAUUGAAGCUAUUUUUAUUUAAGUUCAAAUUCAUUGAACCAUUUUCAAACUAGUUUUAGCUAAUUCAAUCAACUUACCUUUGCUAUAUUAAGCCAAUGAAAUCCAUAUAAAUACCAUGCACGGCAGUUUUCAAAGUUACUCAUUAGCUUUCACAUUCUCAUCUAAAUUUCUUCUGUAUUCUCUUUAGAAAAACCUUCCUCCUACAAUCUUAAUUGAGUGUUUAAUUGGCCGGCUCUUUAGAAAAGCCUUCAAGGAUAAUGAUAUUCAUGCCUCAAGCCGUGAUUCUUAUUUUCUAAACCUCCGAUUUCUUAAGAGAACGUCAAAGGCAACAACCAGUCAAAUUUUAAGUUCAAUUAAAUGAAUUCACAAACUUAUAGAGUUUAUUAUUUUUAUUUUAAUUAGUAUCAAAAGUUUUCAAUUCAAAUUUUAAUUUUGUUAUUCAAGCUUUAUCUCAAAUCAAGCUCAAGCUUUUAAAAGUGAAAUUUGAUUGAGCUUAAGCUAAAUUUUGAGUAUCGAAUUUUAAGUUAACUCAAAAUUUUGAAGUUAAGCUUUGACUUGAUUACACGGUUAGUGUAAAUCGUACAAAUGUAAAGUAUAAUAUAAUUAUAUAAAUUUUGAUACUAUAAUAAUUUCAAUUUUAAAAUUUUAACACAACUAUGGUCUAAAAUGUCCCAUUAUCAAGAAGCUUAGAAAUUGGAAGAUGCAGAUGAAAACAGAGCAUUCAAUUUGCUGAAUAAAUGUUGCAGAGAAUUAAGUAACCGCUUUAUUAAAUCAAAUAAGCUAUAGCAAAUCAGUUCAGUGCCUGCAAAAUUAAAUACAGAAUAUAUACGACUGACUGCUAUUGUCAUCUUGUUCCUGAGGACAGUCAGAUACAUGGAACUAAAGCAGCCAAUGUUUAAAACGGUUUCAUACCUGUGAAACAACAUAAGGUACGUGGGAAAUCUUGGACCACUCUCGUCCUUUGCCCCUAAAAGUGGACAUAAUUAAAAAGGACUUGUCUGUGAUAGAAAAUGGGGGGCUUUAAUUAAAUUACAACCAACAAGGAUGAACUCUGUUUCUGGAUUGAAAUAUUGGAAUUGGUAAUCAGUGACUUAUUCACUAAGAACUAACUAUUCUGUCACCUUAUAUUCUUCCUAUAAUUUCAGGUUUAAUCCUGUUGAUUUAUACAUUCAGUCCACUGCAAUAUGAACCCGUGAAAACCACACUAAAUGAAACUGACCGUUUAAGGAUCCCAUUCGUAUGAUGCAGCACUGCAAUGGGUAAUUAAACUGACUGUUCAAUCCUGUUUCUGUACACUAUGCUUCUUCAAAAUCAUGCCUAGCCGAACUCUCUGACAUUGUGGACCGCAAGCCCACUCAAGGACAUAUUGUUCUUCCCAUCUUUUACCAUGUUGAUCCCUCUGAGGUUCAGCAUCUUAGUGGGAGUAUCAAGACAUACUUUGAUGACCAUGAAUCAAAGAGGCCUGUUGAUGAAGUGAAGCGAUGGAAAACUGCCUUUGUUGAAGUCUGUAAAUUAAUUGGGUGGCAUAUAGGAGGAAAAUUCGACAAGCAACAAUAUAGUUUCUUUUUCAUUUUCUUAUAUAUUUAACUCUCUUUUUUUUGGUUUAUUUGCUAGGCUUGAAUUCGAGUACAUUAAAGAUAUUGUUGAAUAUGUUAUAAAAAGAAGAUGACAAAUAGCGAGUCUAAAAGUGCUUCUUAAGAAUUUGUUGGAAUAGAUGAUCAAUGAAGGAUGAUUUUGAGGCCAACUGAGGAAGAAGACAAUCCUAUAUUAGGAUGAUUUUGAGGCUGAUUGAUGAAGACGACAUUUGUUUGUGAGUUUUAUGUUUUGUCUUUGGGUUUGUGCUUGUUAAUUGUUGAAUGUUUCUCGCUCAAUAAGUUUGUAGGCGAUCCAACUUGAAAAUUAGGAUUAACACUGUGUGGUGCACAAAUUCUUGCGUGACCGUGUCUUGCUUGUUGAUGCUUGAAAAUUGAAAGAUUCUUAUUUAUGCUUAUGUUAAACGGGAUGCAUUUUUAAGAUUAGGGUAGGAUGUGAUUUUUGUGUGGCUAAUCUAAGUUUGAUAUUUUAAAGGUAAACUACCCGUUAAUUACUCUAAAUAAUGGUUGUUUCUAUUUCCUCACCUUAAGGCUUUUUUCUUUUUUCUUUUUAAAUUUGGUCUCUCUAAAAAGAAAUUGAUCAAAUUGAUCACCCCAUCAUUAAAGGGUAAAGGAAAGACUAAUGAUACAUUUCAUGUAUUGUUUUGGGUGACUAAAAUAGGAAAAAAAAAACACCUCCAUUUAAAGUGGCUAAAAGGUAGUUUACCCUAUUUUUAAAGUGAAUAUAAUUUUUUAUGAUUUUUAUAAAAUUUUACAAUUUCUUAUAUUUUUUCUAAUUUUUAAUAAAUUUUUAAUAUUUGAAUAUUUUACUAAAAUUUAAUAAUAUUGAUAACUUUUAUAAAUUUUUUUUCUAAUUUUUAAUAAAAACAAGGGCUUAAUUGUUUUUCUUGAAAAAGUCUAAGGGUGUACAUUUUGAAAGUUCAAGUACCCAAUUGAGUGAAAAAAAAAAGUAGGGGCUUAAUUGCUUUUUUUUUUUAAAAAGGUUUAAAGGCCUUUUUGAUGCAUUUUGAAAGUUCAAGUGCUCAAUUGAGUACAAAAAUUAUGGGUAAAGAAUAGAGAUUAUAAUGAACUCACAUCGUAAAUUAAAAUACCUCACUAUGAUAACUAUCCACAAACUUCGAGCAAGGUUGUAAAUGUUCAUCAACUACAGGGAUUUAAAUUGCGGUCGCGAUCGCGUUUUCGGUUGCGUCGCGUUUGUCGCGGUCGCGGACAUAACGGACGCUAUUGCAGUCACUGCGGGUAUCGCGGUCGUGAAUUUUUUUCAAAUUCACACAACUAACUGUAAAACAUAGUAAUUAUAAUUAUAAUUAUAAAAAGUCACUUUUAAUGAUUUUUAGAGUGUUUUCUAACACUUAUGAACAUUUAUUAAUAUGACAUGAGAACACAACUUUUAUAACCAUUAAUUAUUCUUAUAUUUAUUUACGAAUUUUCUAAGAAUGUUAUAUUAACUAAUAACAAAGUAAAAAAAAGGAAAUAUUAAACAUUUAUCAUAUUUAAUAAGUUUGAAAGUUUUUAUAGAUAAAAGAAUUGAGAAUUCAUAAAUUAGAGAUGUCUUCAAUAUUUCUUUUGACAGCUUUGAAGAUAGUGAAGAUAUAAAUAUGCUGCAAAAGGAAAAAAGGAAUAGAUAAAUUAAUGAAUAGAUUCUCAUUAAUUAUUCCUAUUUCCUACCACUUAUUCUCAUCUCAUUCUACUUUUAACAUGCUUCGAUUCUUCAUUAUCUUUUCAUAAAAUAUACUUCAUUCAUUUAUCUAAAGAUAUAUAUUAUUUUAAAUGUUUUAAUAUCAUCAAAAUUAAGAACAAUAACAAAAGAUUUCUUUAAAAAAAAACAUACCUUACAAAUAAUGAUAGUGGCACGAUUUAGUUUUCACCAAUUAGUGGAAUGACGAGGAAGAUCAAAUCCUUCACCUUCACUUUGGGAGCGUUCUUGACUUGAUUCUCUUGGCCUUUGUCCAAAAAUAUAUCCAAAAAAAGAAACAUUUUCACCUUGGUUUUCAUUCAAUUGAUAUGGAGGAUAUAUUUGAGGAUGAGGAUACAUGAAAGGUGGAGGUGGGUGAUACAUUGGUGGAGGAGGAUACAUUUGAGGCCGGUAUGGCACACCAUAAUUAGGAAAUGGUGGAUAACAACCAUAUGGUUGUGGAUAACCAUGUGAAGGUUGUUCUGGUGGAUAAAAACCUUGAGUGCUAGUAGAUGAAUCACUAUACCCAAGGUUACUAGAACUCGAUCUCCUACCACUGCCAGAUGAAGAGCCUAUAGAAGUAUGCUUCUUGCCUUUUCCCUUUGAUGGAGCUCUAGGUUCACUUCUAUCUCUCCUAGGUUCAGGAAACAUAUUUCCAUCAAACUCUGAUCUGUCACGAAAAUGUCCACCAGUGGUACCACCCCCAUAUUCUCCUCCAUACUAACUAGAAUACCGAAUUUCACCUCUAUCACCACUAUAUCCAUCAUCCUCAUCAAUUGGACUUAAACCACCACCAUCGGGUCCAUCGCCACUCUGACUUGGAGUUGAACUAGAACUUGAAUGAGACAAAAAUUGUUGUUGCGAUUGAUCAACAUCCAUUUCAUCAUCAGAGGUAUCCACAGGCAACACACCGGCAUUUUCACCAUCUAACAAUGGAUUCUCUUUCUCAUGAAGCCAUUCUGAUAGUGGAUCAACAUCUUCAAAGAUAUAAUCAAGGCUGAUAAGAUUAAAACUAGCAUUUAUAUCAUCAGUGCUCAUUCUUUGUUGAUGCCUCAUCUUAAGCCUCAUAUUAUAAUAGGUAAACACUAGUUUUUCAAGUUUUUUAUACUUUAACCUAUUUCUUGCCUUGGUGUGAAUAUAACUAAAUGUGCUCCAAUUUCGUUCGCAAUUUGAUGCUGAAGUUGUUUGACUAAGCACUUUAAUUGCUAAUUUUUGUAAUUCGGGAACACAUGUGCCGUAUAUCAUCCACCACUCAACUGCAUAAUAUUAUUUAAAUUUCAAAAUAACUUUAAAAUGUACAAUAUAAUUAAAUAAUAUAAAUUAAAUUAAAUAAUUUAAUUAACUGUUUACCCGAAUUCAUUUGCUUCCAAGAUCUUUGUGCUUGUGGAGUACCGAAUGUCUCAUGUUUAUCUCUAAAUAGUAACAACUGCAUAAAUAAAAGAUAGAGUAAAAAUAAAAAUAAAAAUUCUAUUUCAAAUGAUUUAACUAAGUUACAAAUAAUAGUAGUUGAAUCUAACCUGAUUAACCAUUCUGACUUGAGUAUCCAUAGAAGGUUCUAAUCUUUCAAUUACUGAUCGUGUACCUUCUAAUGUUUCUAUUAGUACAUUCUCAGAAUGCUCCAUCCCAAAUUGAAAUUGAGGGUUGAGAAAAUAACCUAAGUAUAAUUUAUAAGAAUAUCAUCAAAUAAUAAUAAUCUAAAGCUUAAAAUAAUAAAAUAUAAAAAUAGUUUUUAAUUAUAUGAAACAUUUUAUCUUACCAGCUGAAUGCAAGUCGGAAUGCAUAAAAUUCCAUCUAUUGUCAAUAAUCUUUUCAUACUCUGUGAAAUAUCGACAAUUUUGUUGAAUUGCUCGUUUAGCCCUAUCAACAGCCUCAUAAAUAAAGCCCAUCGUUGGUUUUUCAUCGCUAUCCACAAGUCUCAAUACUCUUACUAAGGGCUCAUAAACUUUUAUGAGGUCAUUGGCUUUUUUCCAAAAAUCUUUUCCCAAAACAAUUUUUUUGGCUUCAUAAGCAGGCCCUGACUUUUGCUUUCCCCAUUUUGAUUCUUUAAAUUCCUAUAUAUUCAUAAGAAAAAUUUUAAAAUAAUAUAAUUUAAAUUAUUUGGAACUAAUAAAAUCACUAAAGGUUACUAUAUUUAAGUAAUUAUAUUAACUAAUUAUAAAAUACUGACCUUUGAAUUAAACAUUUCUCUCAAACCUUGCUUUUGUCUUGUUAUCUCUUCUAGUUGAAUGAAAUGAGUUGAAAAUCGAGUAAGAGCGGGUUGAAGUAUUUGUUUCCCUUGUGUAUACUUCUUCAUCAAAUCAACAGUCCAAAUGUGAUUGUAUAUAAAGCAAGUCACUUUCUUUGCCUCAUCUAACACUUUUGCUACACUGGGCUUUUUCCCAAUAUCUUCAAGGCAUAAAUCUAAACAGUGAGCUGCACAUGAGGUCCAAUAUAGAUGUUGUCUUUUCAACAUUAAUUUUUUUCCAGCAGCUUUCAUUGCUGCCUCAUUAUCAGUCACUAUUUGGACAAUGUAAUUUUCUCCAAUUUCUUCUACAACUGAAUCUAACAAACGGUAGUAGAAUUCAGCAUCUCUACUACGGACACUUGAGACAUCUACCGAUUUCCAAAAAAUGGUUCCUUUACUGCAAUAAACAAAAAAAUUAAUGAUGUGCAUUUGAUUCAAACUGUUGGUCCAACCAUCACACAUUAGAGUUGCACCCAAUUCUUUCCAAUGAGUCUUUAGUACAUUUACCCAAUCAUGAACUCGUUGAUACUCUGACUCCAAAUACACAUCUGAAACCUUAUAAGGUGUUGGGAGCUUUACACCUUGUCCAACUUCUGUUGCCACUUGAAUUAAGUUAUACAACCAUGGAGAGCUUGCUAAUUGAAAAGGAAGUCUUUCAUAUAUUAUAAAUUUAGAUACCGCUUCACCUAUCUUCCUUCGAAAACUCUUUAAAAAAGAGUCAUUGACCUUUGGUUGCUUUGAACUUUUACUUCUAACCAAUUCAGGUAUAGCUCCCCUUAAGGUAAACUCAGACUCACCUGGAAUAGAUUUACUUGUUCUUUCUCUAUUAUGUUCUCUAGCUGAUCCAUGAGAAGAUCGCCCUUCUUCAUAAAUGUUAUCCCAACCACCAGUACUUCGUCUGAAUUCUUCCCUUCUAUGCCACUCGUGUUGUGAUUGGAUACUUUCUCGAGUUGCUUGCCUUAUAGCAGAAACCUCAUCAAUGAAUCCCUCGUGCUCAUCCUCCUCUUCUGUUAAUUGAGAUAAGAAUUCAUCUUUUCUCCUCUUUUUGUCUAUUUUCUUUGUGUUGCUUUCUUUUAGUACAUUCAUCAUACUUUCUCUAAUGACACCUGUUAAUAAAAUAAAAAUAAUUCACACUUUAUAUUAUUAUCAAUUAUAUAUAAUCUUUAUUGAUAAAUUUACAAUAACAUUUAAUAAUAAUAAUAAAGUAUCACAUACCAGUAACAUUAGGGCAUGGUGCAACAUUGCCAGUUUUAUGAGCAAUGUGCUCUUUAAAUCGUGUUAUUCCUCCUUUCACAACUUUACCACAAAGUUUACAGAUGAUACUUCCUCUCACAUUUGGCACUGGAGUUCCAAAGUGCCAACCUAUAUCAUUACUUGGUGCACCCUCCAAUCCUUUAGUCGGGAACUCUUCACGUGGUGGCAUGCUUUAUUUUUAUUUAUAUAAGAAACAUAAAAUUAUAUUUAGAAAUAUAAGCAACUCAUUACUUAUAUUAUCAACAAUAUAAUACCAAAAAAAGUAAACAAAAGUUAAAGCUAAAGUAAAGACCUAAUAUUAUAGAAAUAAAUAAAUAAAUAUUGUGUAAAACAAUUUAAUAAUAAUAAUAAUAAUAAUAAUAAUGGUAAUAAUAAUAAUAAUAAUAAUAAUAAUAAUAAUGGUAAUAAUAAUAAUAAUAAUAAUAAUAAUAAUAAUAAUAAUAAUGAUGAUGAUGAUGAUGAUGAUGAUGGUAUUAAUAAUAAUAAUAACAAUAAUAAAAAUCUUAAAAUUAAAAAUUAUAUGAAAGGAUAUACUAUAUAGAUAAAUAAAAUGAUAUAAUAAAAUAAAUGUAUUUAAAAUAUUUAGGUAAAUAAAUAUGAAAAGAAAUAUAAUUGAAAUAAUAAUGCAAAACUAAUUAAAUUUUAAUAAUAUGGUAAUAAUAACAAGUAAAUAAAUAAUAAAAUAAAAAAGGAAAAAUAAUAAUAGUAAUAGUAAUAUUAAAUUAAUUAAUUUAAUAAUAAAAUAGCAAAAAUAACAAAAACGGGACUAAAUCGAACUUAAAACAUAAAUUUGCGGCAAAUCUGAAAUAAAUAAAAAGAAAAAUGACCAAAUUGAAUGCACAAAUAACAAAAAUGGAUCAAAUGGGAAAUAAUCCCCAUCCUUCAAAACGCACAGCUUCAAGGUGGACCAAAUUGAAAUACGAAAUAAAUUAUAGGACAAAAUUAAAAAAGAAAUAAGCUUGAUUGUAAAUAAUAAAAAAUAGGAAGGGCUAAAAGCGUAAUUAACCCUUCCGUUAAAAACACGCAGAUCCUAGGAAACGGGUCGGGUAAGUGCGGGGUUAGGCCGAAACGGCGUCGUUUUGGUGCCAGAGUGGCCUGCCCAAAACGGCGUCGUUUUGAAGGCCUAUUUAAAUAAAAAAAAUUUCAGAAUCUUCAUUUCAGCCAUUCUUCAAAUAAUUUUUUUUCCUUUUUCUCUCAAUUCUCUUUUUUCUCAACCGUUGCCCAAAAUUCGGCCAUCGGCCACCGUGGCAGCCGCCGUUCACCGGCGACGGCGCUGCCGUGCACGGUGGUCAAAAAUUGCCGAAAACAUUUUAAACCCCCUUUUUUUUGUGUAGAAUAUAGAUUUAGGGAUAAAAAUCUCAAAAAAUCACUCUAUGUUGCAGAUUCAAGACAUGCAAGUACUUUACUUACUGGGUUAGUUUUCUACUUACUUGAUCUAUUGCUUUGCUUGCUGCCUGUGCCCUGUGGCUGUGUUUUUUGCCUUGCCGAAAUAUGGAGAAUGAAGAAAUAGAUUUUGCCUUUUCGUUUGCUUGUGAUUCUGUGAAAUGUGAGUUUGUGAGUCUGUGACUUACUGACUUGUAUUGUGAUUUGUGAGUGAGUUUUGAUUUUUUAAUUGACUUUCAGUCUUUUACUUUACUUUACUUUACUUUACUUUGUUAUUAUUGAAAGUUUGAAACUUGAUCGAUUUUGCAGGUUGGGAGGGAAUAUAUUCCCUUGCCUUUUGUUUUAUUAUCAAGUACAUUGAUUCAGUCUUUCUUCUCACUUUUCACUAUUCACUUCAAUAUUUCAUUCACCAGAAUCACCAUCCAUCUAUAGCACUUGAUUUUUUUUUUAAUUUACGGAAACGGAGAAUAACGAGAAUAGCGGCCCGUUAUUGCCGCAAUUGUCUGUUAUCCGUUAAAUUGCGGCCGCUAUCCACCGUUAUCGGUGUGAAUCCGCUUCCCUCCGUUAUUUUUAGCAAUAGCGGUUUCGAUCGGCGGCGCUACCGCUAUAUAACGGCCGCUAUUCUGAAAACGUUCUGUUAUUUGAAUCCCUGAUCAACUAUAUACUUUCCACAUUUUGGAAAAGACCUAGCCAUAAUAAUAACAUAUGAGCAACAUUUUCUCAAUCUCAAAAUGUAAAAAGCAAUACUGUACUAUCCUUUGAAGUUUGUUCUAAGAACAUUAGAAUGCUAAUCAUUAGAGUUUCAACUUAAGAUUAAACACAAAAAAUAUUGAAAAGUUUCAAGUACUAGGUGUAUUUUGAAAGAGUUGCUCCUAGGGCAUUUUCUCACCAUUCUUUUUCUUCCAUGGAUUCAAAUGCCUGUAAAAGAAAACCAAGGAAUAAAAAAUCAUAUCUACAACUCCAACAGAAGAGGGGAAUACCGGAAGAACAACCUCUACUUACCCUAUCAUAAACACUGGUAACAUCACUGUUGAAGCCUUUCAUAGCAGGGAAUCUUCAUAUAAAGAAUGAUUGAAAACCCACCGUGACACAUUUAGCUUUGAAGCUUCAGAUAGCUAGCCUAUCAAAAUGAUCAAAUAACAUAUCACAACUACCAUACAUGUGGUCUGAGCAUGAGAAAAUAAGGGAUGCUCUGAAAAAUUGGUGAUGAUCCAUCCAUCCAUAAUCACAACUGUUGACACCAUUUUUUGGAUGAAAAACGGGGUCGACUUGGGUUUUUUAAAAUGAAAACGAAACGGGAGUCGCCACCAACCCUUUUUGAUAAGGUGUGAUCGGAUCACCUUGAAAAACGGUUGUUUUUAAUAAACGAUUUAAUUUUAUUAAAACAACGGUUUUGGUCCACGAAAUUCAGAAAGACAGGCUCGGGAGUCGGUUACGCACGAGGAAGGAUUAGCACCCUCGAUACGCCCAAAAAUUGGUACCUAGUUGAUUAGUUAAUGUCUUAAUGUUGAAAAUUAAAAAUUUUAAAGAAAUAUAAAAUACGAUCCUUAAAAAAAAACUCGGAUGAUAUGGAUUGAAAAUCAAAAGGAUAUUUGGCUAUUCAGUUAAAUGAGAAAAAUCGACACCCAGCACCUUAGGGCACGUUUUCUCGAAUUUCCCAAACACAAAACAUUGCCUUAUUUUGAAUUUUUUCCUUAAAAGGAUAUUUAGCCAUUUGGUUGAAUGAGAAAAAUCGACACCCGCACCUUAGGGCACGUUUUCUCGAAUUUCCCAAACGCAAAACAUUGCCUUAUUUUAAAGUUUUUAAAAGGAUAUUUAGCCAUUUGGUUGAACGAAAAAAAUCGACACCCAGCACCUUAGGGCACGUUUUCUCGAAUUUUCCAAACGCAAAACAUUGCCUUAUUUUAAAGUUUUUAAAAGGAUAUUUAGCCAUUUGGUUGAACGAGAAAAAUCGACACCCAGCACCUUAGGGCACGUUUUCUCGAAUUUCCCAAACGCAAAACAUUGCCUUAUUUUAAAAUUUUUAAAAGGAUAUUUAGCCAUUUGGUUGAACGAGAAAAAUCGACACCGAGCACCUUAGGGCACGUUUUCUCGAAUUUCCCAAACGCAAAACAUUGCCUUAAUUUAAAAAUUUUAUUUUUGAUAAAUUCGAGUAAAAUAUAAGAUAAUGAUAAUAAUGAUAAUGUAAAUAACACAAGUAAAUAAGAAAAGAUAAAUAAAUAAGAUGGCAAAUAUAUAAUGAAAAGAAAUCAACAAAUAAAAGUAAAUAAAAAAUAAAAUUAAAACACUUAAAUAAAAUAAAAAUAAUAAUGAGCAUGUAAAUAAAUAAAUAAAUAAACACCAAAUGAAACAAUAAUAGUGAAUAACAUUAUAAUAUUUAUAUAUAUAGGUAUAUAUAAAAAUUAUGAAAAUAGAAGUAAUAAAAACAUAUAUAUGUAAAAAUAUGUAUUAUUUAUAAAAACUAGAAAUAUGUACAUGUAUUAUAAAUAUAUGCGUGUAUAAAUAAAUUAUAAAAAAGUAAGUGUAUAUGUAUACAUAUAUAUAUUUCAGAUAGUAUGUAUGUAAAUAUAUAGAAACAUAUAUGUAUAUAUAAAAAGAAAUACACGUAUAUAUAUAAGAACAAUUAUAAUAAUAAUAAUAAGUAAUAAUAUUACAAAAAUAACAAUAUGAUAUAAAAAUAUAAUAGUAAACAAAUAAAAAUAAAAAUAAAAUACAACAAUAAAACAGAUGGACUAAAUAGGGAUAAAAACAAAAGUACUGGGAAAAAUCGAAAUAAAAAACAAAAAAAUGACUAAAUUAAAAUGGAAACGAAAUCUCAGGGCCGAGAUAAAAAAUAAAACAGAGUAAGGGAUCAAAAUGUAAUGCGCGCGAAAAAUAGAGUGGCCAGUUAGGAAAUUAUCCCUAUUAAUCGAACGGCGCCGUUCUGCCAAGGCCCAGGCGCAUGGUUCCUGGACUAAAUUGAAACGGAUGCGAAAAUUUGUGGCCAAAAUUAUAAAAAAAAAAAGAAACCGCCUUGAACACACCACAAAAGUGGAGGUACUUAUUGCGAAAAUAUCCCAUUUGCAGAAAACGCGCGGAUCCUCCCCCUGGGCCGGGUCACCGCGCGGGUCAGAGACCAAAACGACGCCGUUUUCGGUCUCUGAACCCUAAGCUCAAACGGCGCCGUUUUAGGGGGGUUAUUUAAACCCAAAAUUUUUACAAAAAUUCAUUUUUUCUAGUUAAAAUAAAACAAACUCAAAAUCAUUCUCUUUUUUUCUCUGUUUCAAAAACGCUUCCCCUCCCCUUUUGAACCCGGCCACGGCGUCGGUGAGCUCGCACGAAGGCUUCACCGUAGCCUCGUCGCUGCUUCGCCUUGCCGGAGAAUAAAAAGAAAAGAGGGGCUACCCCCUUUUGCCCGUCUCUCCUCUGGCUUGGCCUAAACGAAACCCCGUAGGAUUUCUGUGGCUCCAUCGCAGAAGGGGUCAUCGACGGUGGCGCCGCAAGUGAAAGGUUCCUCCUUUCGACCCUUUUUUGAUUUUUUAGAGAAAUAAAUUCAAAUAAAACUUAAUAUAAAAGAAGACAGAGGAUUCAAGAGGCUUAAAUCACCUUGAAACUGUUUAUUGUUGUUUUUCUUUUUUUUGCUACUCUGUUUUUGCGUUACAUAAAUCGCUAGAAAAAAAAACAAAGUUACAUUUUGCUGGCUUUUAUAGCCGAUCUUCUAUUGCCUGCGUUCUUUGUUUGCUUGUUCUCUUCUUUGCAGGUGACGGCGCAAGUGGCGUGGUCGACGUGACUGUGGCGGUGGCGACGUGACGUUUGCGGCGACGAUGGCAGACCAAAGGUCAAUAGGUGCGGUGCUAGGGUUUCAGAAAAUCUAAAACCCUAGUCUGAAUUUGACACUUGAGCUUGGGUCUAUUGGCUGAAUUGGGUUACUGAUUUGGGCUUUGGUAGGUUUAGGGUUAAUUGGGCUUUAAUUUGGGUAGUGGGCUGGGUAAAAAUUUGGGCUGUACAGCUGCCCCUCUUUGCUCGUUGUCGUGUAAUGAUAGCAGAGCAAAGACUAAGAAAGACCAAUUUUUACCCGGUCUCAUCGAGGAAAUAGGAUUCGCCGUUGCGGCUUCAAUCUUUUAGUUGCAAUGUCGGGAAAGCAAGAUUCACUAUUGUAGCUCCAAUCUGUUCCACUGCACCGCUAGAGAAAGUAAGAUUCGCCAUUGUAGCUUCAAUCUUUUUAACUGCUGGGGAAGCAAGAUCCGCUGUUGUAGCUUUAAUCUGUUCCACUGCAACACUAGGAAAGUAAGAUCCGCUGUUGUAGCUUCAAUCUUUUUAAUUGCAAUGCCAGGGUAGUAAGAUCCGCUGUUGUAGCUUCAAUCUUUUGAAUUGCAAUGUCGGGGAAGUAAGACCCACUGUUGUAGCUUCAAUCUUUUGAAUUGCAAUGUCGGGGAAGUAAGAUUCGCCGUUGUAGCUUCAAUCUGCUCCACUGCAUAACUUGGGAAAGUAAGAUUCGCCGUUGUCGCUUCAAUCUUUUGAAUUGAAAUCUAUGGUUUCUUCGAUCUACUUUGCUGUCAACUUAGAAAAGCAAGACCUGGUAUCUUCAUUAAUCUGUUCUUUGGGGAACAUGAUCUAUAUGAACCUAUUUAUGCCUAAUGAUCAUGAUCAAAAUAUCCUGGCUAAAUGUGUAUGCACGAAUGUAAAAUGAUCUUUCAAUGUUUGAGUUGUUAAUGCUCCUUGCUCAAUAAGGCUUUAUUGCCAACACGUCCGAACACUAUCUUGUCCGGUUGGUAAUGCUCAUCUCUCACUUGGUCGGGUUGCCCCUAUUGUAAUCUUCAAGGUUCAAUCCACUGGAUGCAAAAUUUGAAUCACCUUUCUCCCUCUGUAACCUAAGGAUAGAAGGAUCUGGCCCUUUCUCGAUCCUCUAUUAUCAUACAGAAUGUGACACUCUUUGGUCUCCUACACCAUUCCCAGGGUGUCAUACUAACUGUUUAUGCACAAUCGCAAAAUUUUCUCUUCCGAGAAACCUCUUCUUAUCAUUUGGUGAUCAUUGAAGGUUUGUCACCAAUAUGACAUCUUGUCAUUUUGUUUAAUCCAUGUUUGGACAACAAAGUUUGAAAGGAUAGUCCUGACUUAGACUUUUCCCUUUUAGGUACUUUAAACUUGGUGUGUUCUAAACAACAGUCCGGUUUCAGGUUCCUUCAUUAUUUGGAAAUUUCUGGAUUAAUAUGCAAAACUCCUUUUGUUUGAACAUUCAGUCCAUCGAAAGAUUAUCGCAAUAGACAAACAAAAUGUUAUUGAGAACAAAUCUCGAAAUGAAUGAGUUAAUCAAAAUAACAAAUUUUGCUAAGAUAAGAUGAAAAGCAGACAAUAAACAAAAUGGAAUUUUAUUGGGGAACAAAGCUGGAAAUGAAUACAUUAAUCAAGACAACAAAUUUUGUCAAGAUUCAAAAUAUAAGGUGACAACAGAUGCCCCAGAUAUCGCAGCACGAGCUUCCCUGCAUAAGUUUUUCUAAAGAUCAUUUAAUAUGUGUUUAGGGAAUCUACAGUAUUUUGUCAAUACACCAAGAUGUCGCCUACCCUUUCUUGUGAUUCAGGUAUAGUAAGACCACCACAUGCGUCUUGAUCAAAAUUUUGAGUUGUUCCUUUCACCUCACGUUUCUUCAAAAUUUGAGCCGCCUUUUUCAGGUAUUCAACUCAAAUCCCUUUUGGUCUCAAGACGCCCAUUACGGGUUUUCACAUUGGCCUCUCCUUUUUUUUGAAGUGCCCCUUUUUCAAGUGAAAUAUUUCUUGACUGAAUCUGAGUUUACAAGAUUUGGCAGGCUUUUACCAUCCAUCUCGCUCAAGAUUAAAGCUCCUCCUGAAAAGGCCUUUUUUACCACAUAAGGACCUUCCCAAUUUGGCAUCCAUUUUCCUCUAAAAUCCUUUUGUAGAGGAAGAAUCUUUUUCAACACCAAGUCCCCCUCGUAAAAUUCUCUGGGACAAAUUUUUUUGUUAUAGGCUCGCAUCAUUCGUUUCUGAUACAUCUGACCGUGACGAAUAGCUUUUAACCUCUUUUCUUAUACCAAGUUUAGCUGGUCAUAUCGAGACUGAAUCCAUUCAGCCUCAUCUAACUUUAGUUCAGCUAAUAUUCGGAGGGAAGGGAUUUCAACUUCUAUGGGUAAAACUGCCUCCAUCCCAUAAACUAAAGAAAACGGCGUUGCCCCCGUAGAGGCCCUAACAGAGGUACGAUAUGCCAGAAGAGCGAAAGGUAAUUUCUCGUGCCAAUCUUUGUAGGUUUCAGUCAUUUUCCCCACAAUUUUUUUGAUAUUUUUAUUAGCUGCUUCCACAGCACCAUUCAUUUUUGGACGGUACGGUGACGAAUUGUGGUGUCUGAUCUUAAACUUACUACAAACUUUCGCUAUUAAGUUGUUGUUCAAGUUCAGCGCAUUAUCGGAUAUGAUCCUUUCAGGCAUCCCGUAUCGACAUAUGAUCUCUUUUUUCAGAAACUUGCUAACUGCUGACUUCGUGACAUUUGCAUACGAAACAGCCUCCACCCAUUUAGUGAAGUAAUCAAUAAUCACAAAGAUAAAACGAUGCCCAUUAGAAGCCUUUAGAGAUAUUGGCCCGAUAACAUCCAUUCCCCACAUGGAGAAAGGCCAUGGAGAAACCAUAACAUGAAGGGGUGACGGUGGUGCGUGCAUUUUGUCACCAUAAAUUUGGCACUUAUGGCACUUUUUGGGAUAAUUAAUGCAAUCCCCUUCCAUGGCAGACCAAUAAUACUCAGAUCUCAUAAUUUGUCUGGCCAUCGUAAAGCCGUUGGCAUGUGUUCCACAAAUACCUUCAUGUACUUCUUCCAAAAUUUUCUUGGCCUCAACAGCAUCCACAUACCUCAACAAUACUUGAUCUUUUCCCUUUUUAUACAAAAUUUCCCCAUCUAGGACAUAGUCAAUGGCUAAUCUCCUUAAUGUCUUCUUAUCAUUAUCCGUCGCACGGUCAGGGUACUCACGACUCUUCACAUAUCGCAAUAUGUCAUGAUACCAAGGGUGAUCAUCCUAUUCCCCUUCAUUGCCAAUGUUGCAACAAUGGGCUGGAGCCUAAUAAAUGUUGAUCUGGAUAGGCUUCAUAUCCUCUAGUUUGUUCACCUUAAACAUAGAAGCUAGGGUAGCCAAAGCAUCUGCCAUCUGAUUCCCAUAUCGUGGGAAAUAGCUAAAGGUGACAUUAUCAAAUUCCUCAAUCAAUUCCAUAACCAAUUUUCGAUAGCGGACUAACUUCGGGUCUCUUGUUUCCCAUUCCCCUUUGAGUUGGUAAAUUACUAAUGUAGAGUCCCCAUAUACCUCUAGCACCUUAAUUUUCCGCUCUAUGGCUGCUCGGAUGCCCAUAAUACAAGCUUCAUACUCAGCCAUGUUAUUUGUGCAAUCAAAAUCCAAUUUGCUAGUGAAAGGGUAAUGAUCUCCACUAGGGGACACGAGUACUGCCCCGAUUCUAUUGCCUAUAGCAUUUGAAGCUCUGUCAAAAUUUAGCUUCCAAGGACCACCUUCUUGGAAAUCUCUUUCUGUAGUUACAACAUACAUCAAAUCUUCAUUUGGGAAAUCAAAGUUCAAUGGUUCAUAAUCCUCCAGCGCUCUACUAGCCAGGAAGUCCGCUAUCGCACUCCUUUUGACCGCCUUCUGGUUCACAUAGACUAUGUCAAAUUCAGAUAGGAGAAUUUGCCAUCGGGCCAUUCUUCCAUUCAAAGCGGUUGAUUCCAUCAAGUAUUUCAGAGGGUCCAAUUUAGAAAUUAGCCAGGUUGUAUGGUACAACAUGUACUGUCUUAGUCUCCGAGUUGUCCAGAUCAGGGCACAACAUAACUUCUCGAUUGGCGAAUAUCUUGUUUUGCAUUCGGUGAACUUCUUGCUGAGAUAGUAGAUUGCUCUUUCUUUUCGUCCUGACUCAUCAUGUUGACCAAGCACGCAUCCCAUGGAAUUUUCAAAUACUGCUAAAUACAGUAUAAACGGUUUGUCUGGGCAAGGUGGCAUCAGCACUGGGGCGUUGGAUAAGUAAUGUUUGACUUUUUCAAAAGUUUUUUGACAUUCUUCAUCCCAUACACCUGGAUUAUGUUUCUUAAGGAGACGAAAUAUGGGGUCGCAUUUCUCGGUUAGCUGUGAGAUGAACCGAGCGAUAGAGUUCAGCCUUCCUAGAAAACCUCUAACCUCUUUUUGAGUAUACGGUGGACGUAAUUCUUGUAUUGCUCUUACUUUGUCAGGAUCAAUUUCAAUUCCUCUUUCACUGACCACGAACCCCAACAAUUUUCCUGAUCUGACCCCAAAUGUGCAUUUCGCUGGAUUUAGCUUUAGUUGAAAUUUUCUCAACCUCACAAAUAAUUUCUUAAGGACCUGCACAUGUUCCUCUUCUAUUAUAGAUUUUGCAAUCAUGUCAUCAACAUAGACUUCUAACUCCUUAUGCAUCAUAUCAUGGAACAGUGUUACCGUGGCCCUCUGGUACGUUGCCCCUGCAUUUUUCAACCCAAAUGGCAUUACCUUUUAACGAAAGGUUCUCCAUAAGGUUAUAAAUGUAGUUUUCUUCAGAUCCUCAGGAUGCAUCUUAAUUUGGUUGUAUCCAGAGAAACCGUCCAUGAAAGAAAACAGCGAAUGCCCUGCUGUGUUGUCCACCAAAGCGUCGAUAUGUGGCAAGGGAAAGUUAUCUUUUGGGCUAGCCUUAUUUAAAUCUCUAUAAUCUACACACAUUCGUACCUUUCCAUCUUUUUUAGGGACAGGAACAAUAUUGGCUACCCACUCAGAGUAUUUGACCACUUGCAGGAAUCCAGCGUCGAAUUGCUUUUGCACAUCCUCUUUUAUUUUUAAUAUAACAUCAGGCCUCAUUCUUCGGAGUUUUUGCUGAACUGGUUUGCAAUCUUCCUUUAUAGGAAGUCGGUGAACUACGAUGUCAGUACUUAACCCCGGCAUAUCUUGGUAUAACCAUGCGAAGACAUCUUUGAACUCUUGAAGCAAUUCAAUGAGGUCUUGUUUUACUUCUUCAGCUAUGCACGUGCCAAUCUUCACCAUUUUUCCCUCUUCCAAGGUCACUGUCUCUACCGUCUCUUCGUGAGGUAGGAUUUGUUUCUCUUCCUGCUCCACCAUCCUCAAUAAGUCCGGAGAUAGGUUGCACUCUAUGUUAUCUUCAAAAUCUUGAGAUUCCUCUAAACACAUAUCUCGUUCGAAAGGAUUUUCUAAGUCCAUAGUAAAGUCACUCAUGUCAUUGAUAUCUUGGGACCUGUUAUAUGUACCGAAGAAUGUACAGGGAAUGUAUGAAUUUAAGGAUUCUUAUUUAAUAUGGUCAUGAAUGAAAUGAAAGAAUGAUUUGGAAUAAAAACAUCCAAGAUAACUAUCCAUACGAAAGAAUGAAAAGAAUUUUAAAAGAAUAUAUACUCAAAAUGCGAAAAUAUAUUUCAUUGAAAUCACAAUGUUCAAAUAUAAGCCCAUUUCAUUUCACAAAAAGUUUCAUUUUCUCUAGGCUUAGAACAAUUAGCAUGUUUUGAAUAUUACUCUGAAAAAGCUCUAAAAACUUCAGGCAUUUCUUCUAUAGUCCAAUUGUUUAAAACACUCCCAGGUUCAACGGGAUAAAUGCCUGAUGUAUUUUCUUCUUCAGAUUUUUCUUCAAAUAUGGCAUUGAUGUUCAAGUUUCCUAACAUUUCCUCUGUGGUCUUCUUUCUUGGAGUUCUCAGCCCAAAAUACAUGGUUCCUCUUGAUACGAAGGUCCUGGAUAUGUGGGGGAAAGCCAACGGUUCCCAAUCAAUUUCUUUUCCGUUCAAACUCGCAUUCCUCCUCUCUUGUCUUUUCUCCAGCUCUUUCCUUCUUUGCUUAACAUUUGGCUUAAAUCCUAAACCAAAGCGGUCUCGUUUGUCCUUCACCACUGGUGCCUCUAUCCUUCCUUGAAGGCAUCUUCCCAGUCCUCUUCCAGGCACAGCUCCUUUUCCAAUUGUCAUUUGUAGUCCCAUUCUCGUGGCUCUAGAUAUGCUGGGCAUUGGGAUCCUCUUUCUCUCAAUAAUGAAGGUCGCAUUUACGAACUCUAAGGAUCGAAAGGAACAUUCGACCGCCUCAUCAUCUGUUUCCAAAUAUGGUGCGUCACUGGUUACUAAUGCAAUGAUAUCUUCCUCAGCGUUAAUCGUAAUUAAACGGCCUUCUGUUACCAAUUUCAACUUCUGGUGCAAUGAUGAAGGCACCACUCCUGCUGAAUGAAUCCAGGGUCUUCCCAACAAGUAGUUAUACGAAGGCUUGAUAUCCAUCACUGAGAAAUCCACCUCGUAUGUAUUUGGGCCAAUCAAUAGGGGUACUUCUAUUCUUCCCAUCACCUUCCUUUCGGUACCAUCAAAUGCUCUCACUAUGUUCUGACAUGAUUUCAUGUGAGAGCUAUCCAUCGGUAACCUUUUUAAGGUGGACAGGGGUAAAACAUUUAAUGUUGAUCCAUUAUCAAUUAGCACUCCCGCUAACGUACACUCCCCGCAGCGAGCAGUGAUAUGUAAUGCUUUGGUGGCUCCUCUUCCCCCGGCGGUAUUUCAUCAUCAUUAAAGAAAAUGAAAUUGUCGGUACUGAUAUUAUUAACCAAGCGGUCCAACUUAUUCAAUGAGAUAUUGUUAGCGACAUAAGUUUCAUUUAGAACCUUAAUCAACACAUUAUGAUGUAUUUCUGAACUUAUAAGCAACUCAAGCACCGAGAUACGAGCCGGUUGUUUAUGUAAUUGUUCUACCACGCUAUACUCGCUAUGUUUCAAGAAUUUUAGAAAUUCUCUAGCCUCAUUUUCAGUUACCGGCUGAUUGACACGCGGUUCAAUUUUGUCUGUUUUUAUUUUUCCCAACUCAACUGCUAAGGCUUUUCCUUUUCCCAAAUUCAUUCUUGCAUUUUUCAGAUCAUAGCGUUUUCCACUUCGUGUAUAGAAUCCUUCAUCCUCUCCUGAAGCGUUUACCAAGCUCUCUUUCCCUGGAAUUGUCACAUUGCAGUCGUAAUUCCAAGGAACCAUUUUGCUAUCCUCGUAAGGAAAGGAUACAGGUUAUUGGAUUAUGACCUUUGGUGCUAUUUGUAUUCCAGAUUCUUUGUUCAUUGGCUUUGAAAUGAUAACCACUGGGUGAUUAACCUCUUGGGCUUUCCCCGCAGAUCCUUCCUCUAAAGCAUAAACUUCUCCCUGUUCUAGUCCCUUGACCUCUUCAUAAAACUCCAUUUCUUUGUUAUCCAUUAAGCUCUGUACCAUGGUUCUGAACUCAGUGCAUUUUUGGAUGUCGUGGCCUUCUUUUGCGUGGAACUCACAAAACUUCCUAGCCCCUUCAGGCCUUUCUAUUGAAUUUUGCUUGAUGAGCCCUCUUUUCACCAUUUGUUUCCAAACCCAUUCAAGGGGGUCCUUAUCUUUGCUACGUUUGCUUUGACCCUCCUUCCUCCAUUCUCAGUUAUCACGUUCACCCCUUUAUCAUCAUGAUUGGGCAAUGGAUUCCCUGCUAUGUUUGGCCCUGAUGAGUCGCCAAUCUUUACGAUCCCCAAAUUGAUAAGUUUUUCAACUAACUUCUUGAAUGCAGUGCAGUUCUCAAUCAAAUGCCCCUUAGUCCCUGCGUGAUACUCGCAUUGGGCGUUUGCGUCAUACCACUUAGGGUAUGGAGGUUGCAUAGGUUUUAGGUAAAAAAUGGAGACCACAUGGGCAUCAAAUAGAUUUUGGUACAGCUCCUUGUAAGUUAUCGGUAUAGGUGUAAACUGGGGUCUUUCUGACUUCGAAUUAGACUCCUACCUCGGAGGGCCCUGAUGAUUGGUAGCUACUAUCUUUGGUGAGCCAACAGUGACAGACUUUGAAUAUCAUUUGCUGUAUGUAUUCACAUUAUUUAUCUCACCUUCCUUCUUCCUUGAGGUCGGUCUUCUAGAAUUUUCCCCCGCAUCUAUUUUACCACUUUUUACCGUAUUUUCGAUCAUUUCACCAGUCAUCACUAUGUCUGAGAAACUUUUAGUGGCACUUCCUAACAUAUGAUUGAUGAAUGGGGCCUUCAAAGUAUUGAUAAAGAGCAUUGUGGUUUCUUUUUCCAGUAGAGGCGGCUGGACUUGAGUUGCCACCUCCCUCCACCUCUGAGCGUACUGCCUGAAGCUUUCAUUUUGUUUCUUUUCCAUGUUUUGUAGGGUGAUCCUAUCGGGUGUUAUGUCCGAUAUGUGACUGUACUGUCUCAUGAAGGCCUGUGCCAAAUCUUUCCAAGAACUAAUUUGGGUACGACUCAGCUGAUUGUACCAUUUGGCAGCAGCUCCUAUCAGACUGUCCUGGAAACAGUGAAUUAACAAUUGAUCAUUGUCAAUAUAUCCCGUCAUCCUCCGAUAGAACAUGGUGAUGUGGGCUUCGGGACAGCUAGUUCCAUUGUACUUCUCGAAUUCGAGCAUUUUAAACUUAUGCGGAAGAACUAAGUCAGGGACCAAACUCAAGUCUUUAGCAUCGAUUUUGCAACGGUAAUCGGCAUUUUCCAUUGCUCUAAACUUUUCUUCUAACCACCUACACCUAUCUUCAAGUUGUUUCGGCAAAUCUACUCUUGCCUUUUCUGCUUCCGUUACAUCAUUCAAAUCAAGAACAACAGGGUUAGCCGGAUUAUCUCCCGGGUUAGAACCUGAACCUAUCUAAAAAUUUAUUGGUGCCAUGGUGUCAACCUGGCAUUGAGGCCUAAUGUGAACAUGCACUCCUUGUUGACACAUAUCCGGUUGUGCCUGAGUGCUCGUUGGGGCAAAACUUGGAGGAUAAACAGGGUCCUCCUGAUCGACUCCCGAAUUGGUAGCAGGGCCUUUUCCUUUGUCAGCCAAUAAUUGUGUCAAUUGGCUCAUCAUGGCUCUUUGAGAUUCCAGCACAUCUAAUUGUUCUUGCAUUUUAUCUUGUAUUUCUUUCUGCGUUUGUUCCAAUCGUUCUAUCUGUUGAUCCAUUGCUUUUGUUUUCUUUCUUGUACCGUAAGGGUGUUCCAGGAUAAUUGAAAUAAUUUUAUUUAAUUAGGGUCCUUUAAUGGUUGUUAAUGCAUAUGAUGUGAUGCAAUGCAUGAAAUGAAUGCAAAAAGAAAAGGCAUUGACUCUGAUUCAAUUCCAUUUAGAAAACUUUACUAGAAAAAUAAAAUUCUUUACAUAAGAUAGAUUACAUAUACGGUUUUGCCCUAAUGCUCAAAAUUCUAAUCUUCUUAAGUAAUGAAGCUAGCUCUUUUCCUCGGCUUGAUUCCAGCUCAUAUUUUACACUUAGCAUAUCAGCUUGCACUGCCAGCGUUUGCAAGUGAUCCGCAACCUCUCGAAUUUGAGUCACAGCUUCUCCCAUAAUGUGAUCCCUAUCUCUAACUUGGUUUUGAAAGUAGUGCAACUGCUCAUUUUGACGGUCUUCAUUAGCUUCCAAAUACUCGAUCCGGAUCUCGCAAUUUCGCAAUGCUGCUUCUAACUCUUCAGUUCUUUCUUUCAUUUCUUCAAUUCUAUUUAGGCUUGCCCUCAAUUCCAUCACAGAGUUCCGAUUUUAGUGCCGAUGAAGAGAUCCUUCUAAUUCAGUCAUUCUGUUCUCUAGCUCCCCUUUUUCCUUUUGAUUUUCUGACAAAUUCCUCUUUAGAGUCUCGUUAUGUGCUUAAAUUUCUUGGAAUCUCCUUUCCCAUUCAUCAGCUUUAUUCUUUUCUUCUUGAAUCUCCUUGCGCCACUGCUCAGAAGUCUUUCCCAACCCGGCAGUCCUCAUUGAUAAUCGCAACUUCUUAUAAUCUGUUUUCAAACUAUCAAGAUCUUCUUCAGCCCUAGCUUUCCCUUUUCUUAAUCGCUCCGUCUCGAGCUUCUGAACAUCUGUAUCCAAUUUUAAGUUCAUUUUUUCCUCCUCUAUUUGCUCUAUCUUCUUUUCUAACUCUGCAUUUCUUUCUUGAAAGUCUUGUUUUAAUAUUUCUAGUUCAGAAGGGACGACCCGUAAAUGCUCCUCUAUUGAUUGACUGCCUUCGCGACUCGGCUCAAGAAUAUUGUCGUUAAUCCUCUUACUCCGCUACCCAUGAUAUCUAGGAGUUAUCAUUGCCCCAACGGUGAAUCUUUUCAUCCGGUGAGUUUGCUUCCAAGCGUUGGACAUUUCUCGAAUCUUUCCUUUGUAGUUAUUACUCCCAUAAGCAAACUCACACUCGGUCAGUCCUUGCAUUGCCGGUAUGAACUGACUUGAUCUAUAUUGUCUUAAUAUGAGCAGAGGGGUAUAUCCGACAACUCCCCAAAUUCUGAGUAAAGGAACCCAAUCGAAGUCUCCACAUCGAUACAAAAUCUUGCCAGGCACUAUCCAAGGAGCUUUCCAUUCAACAUCCUCAUCUCGGAGAUUUUGAAGGAUUGCCAUCCACCUUUCUCCAGUAAUAUUGUCACGUAUUGAUGUUGCUGCUGAUUCUUUCAAAGGAGAGUACUUUUCAGAGAACACUUUGUAAGAAACCUUAUCCACCUUCCAGAAGUGACUAUGGAACCAAACUAAUAGAAGCUGUGCACAACCAAUAAAUCUUCCUUCACCUGCUCUCUGGCAUGCACUCAAAGAUCUGAAUGUUUCAGCCAAAAUUGCUGGGACUGGUGUAAUCCCCCUAUCAAGUUGAUUGAACAAAUCUGUAACCGUUUCAUCAAUAUGUCUUAAUGCUUUGGGGAAAAUAACCAACCCAUAGAUACUCAAGGCGAGGACAUCAACUUUCUUCUUUGUAUCAGGGUGUGCCGAAAUCUAAUCUCGCAAACUUCUCCAAGGGAUACAUUUAUUUUCCCCUUUUUGUUUGAUAUGUGCCGUAACCCAUUGCUCGCUCAUUCCGGUAAUUUUUGCUAACUUCCUUGUAAAAGUGAGAACAUUGGCAGUUCUAGAAUAAACUUUAUCUACUUGGAUUCUUGGACAACGAAGUAAAGUUCUAUACUCCUCCACAGUAGGCACUAUGUCUACCUCCCCAAAGGUGAAGCAGCUAUAAGCAGAAUUCCAAAAUUGGGCCAGAGCUCGAAAUAAAUGCUCAUCCACCUUGAUAUCGAGCAAGUAGGGCAGAUCACCAUAAUUACAGCAAAACAACUGUUUGACCUCGUCAUCCCAUUGAGCCCAAAUUUUUUUCAACUCUUGGAGAUCAUUCUAAGUUACGUUGAUACAAGUGAAGUCCCAUAAUUCUGAUGUGUAUCCCUCCGUCAAACUAUCACCUUUCUCAAGUUGUGUUUUUUCUGACCAUGUUUGGACAACCGAAUUAUUAUCCGCCUUAUCAGGAAAUUCGUUUUCCAUGAUGAGCUUUCUGUCUAGAAAUCGAAUGUGAAUCAACGCCUUUUGUAAUGAAAUGCCAUGCAGUUGAGAUGUCAUGCAUCCAAAGUAAAAUAGCAAAGAUUAGUAUCAGAUAUAAACAUAUAAUCCAAAACAAUUCAGAAAGAUUAAAAAUACAUAUCAGGGUAUCACUAAGGUUUGGUGUAGUUCUACCUAGGGUGAGUUCCUAAGGUUCACUACAUGCGGUUUGGCUCUAAAGUAAGGGUACCCAAACCAGCAGAUUCCUCGAUCUUCACCCAUUAUAGGCUCAUAUAGACCGAGUUUGGUUCAGGGGAAUACAUUUAGCUAUGGCUGCACGGAGAUGAAAAUCUCACGAAGACAUAGGUACGGAUGUAUCCCGAAAGUGAUCCACUAUCCUGGACGGAGGUGAAAACCUCACGAAGGACUAGCUUCUCACUCCUACUUAAAAAGGUGUGACCAACGGUCAUGCAAUGCAAUGCCAAAAGAUAUAAAAAUUUAAAAUACAAAACAUGAUGAAAACUCAAAACAAAUGAGAUGCAAUGAGAGGAUCGUAUAUUUAAAUCACAUUUUCAACUUUCGACAAAAAGACAAGAAAUAAUCAAAUCGUGGCUUGACUCUCUUAUUUAUGUCCCCAGCGGAGUCGCCAAGCUGUUGACACCAUUUUUUGGAUGAAAAACGGGGUCGACUUGCGUUUUCGUUUUCAUUUUUCAAAACCCAAGUCGACCCCAUUUUCAAUCAAAAAAAUGGUGUCAACAACAACGAUUGCGCUCAAGCGAUGCAUCAACAAGAGAAGUGCACACAUAAACGUACAAAAUACCGAGGAAAGCCAACCAAACAUCCUUCAAUAGUACAAUGAAAUGUCAAACGUUUUUAACUAAAUCCCAUUCCCAUAUACAUAGGCAUAACAAUUGCAGUUGAGCGAUUGCUCCAAACCCAUGCCAUAUAGUACAAAGCAAAGGAUCCUUAAAGACGAGGACGAUAUAAGAGUUAAGCAAACAUAUAUGCAAAAAAAGCGUAGAAAUCAGAAGCUGCCGAUGAUAACAGAACAUUAAAAUUGCUUAAUAAAUGUUCCCGAUGAAAAAUAUAUGAAUAUACGCAUAAAUUUAGUAUUGCUAUUAAAUAUCAUGAGCACUGCACAAAUUUAGCCCAAUUUAAAGGAAAAAAAAUUCUCUAAAUUUCCAUUUUAUUUGACAUAUCUAGAUUUGUAAUUUGAAACUUUGUUCUUAUUCACAUGAAUUAAAAUUUGAUCUAAUCUGAUUUUAUCAUUAAAAAUGAGCCAACAGCCUAAAUCUUAAUUAAGACGAAUAAAAGCCUAAUCAUGUGGUUUUGUGAGAAAUUGACACUAGGGUAAUCUAAAAUUAAACGCUUGAUGAUCUCUCGACUCUCUUAGCUUCUUGCUAGGGAAUUAGAUUACUCUCACACACUAACACACACAUUUCCCCUAAGGUAGCUACGCUAAUUUUCUUGAAUUCCCUUCUUAAUCGCAGCUCUUAUUUCUAGUGAUUUUAUCCCUACAGAUUGAUCAACCAAUCAUGCUAAAUCGCUAAAUAAAAUACCAUACUGGCUGUGUGAAAUGCUGCCAUCGGAGGCAUCCUUCGCGAUCAUAAUAGAACUUCCUUGCUGAUUUUUUUUAAGGCCAUUAGAAAAGAAAAUAUAACAAGAGAGCACAAAUUGGUUCGGGGAUAUUAUUCCUUAGAACAACAGGCAGAACCAAGAAUGAAAAUUACAUCAUAAAAUAAAAUACCUCACCACAAUAACCAUUCACAAACUUUGAGCAAGGUUCUAAACGGUCAUCGACGGUAGACUUUGCAACACUAGUACCAUUUGGCUUUCAACCCCCCAUCAAAUUUUGUGGUUCUCAAAGCUGAGUGAAUGUAGAAUGCUAAAUAAAUAACAGAUUUGGCUCCUCCACUUCUUUUUAUGAAGGUUCCCUUGAAAUGCCCUAUAAGAGUAUGAUAAUGCUAAUCAUUAGAGUUUCGGUUUAUAAAUUAAACAAAAAAUGAAAAGUUUCAAGUAGCAUUAGUAUUUAGAAAGGGUUAAUUCAAGGCCAUUUUCUCACCAAUUUUUCUACCUUGAUUCCACACAAUCCACAUGAUCAAAAAUGUAAAUUCUCAUCAAGUGAAUUGAUACAUCUCAAAAGUAGCCUUCUAAUGAUUUCGUUGUGUUAAUGCCUAAAUUGAGCUCUCUAAUGCCAUGCCGUACUGUGUAGUGUAUCCUUCCUGUAAGGAUCAAUACCAUGUUCAUAGUGGUUAUGAAAUCUGUUGACACUGAUAUCCUUACUCAAUAACCACGAAGAUCUGUAAACUAUUACGUAAAGACUUAUUCUUCUAGAAAACCUUUGGGUAAUAUUUGACAUAGAUAUGUAAAACAGUUUAUAAAAUUUUGCAUGUAUUUAAAAGAUCAUAUCUUUUAUACACGUCAAGGUGAAACUAAGAGACAUGAUUUAAAUAGUUCACUCGCACUCACUUUUAAAGGUGGAUUCUUGAGGUUUUAGCCAAAAUUAAAAAAGCUUGAGUUCAAUUUAACAACUAGGACUCGAAGCUUGACUCAAGUUAGAUCGAGUUUCAGUUUUAAUGUAGAGCUCGAUUUUGAUAUAAAAAUUUACUUAAGUUCGUUAUAUUAGAUUCGUUUACCAAAUAAAAUGAAAAAAAAAGGGUCAAAUUCUAUUAUUAAUUCUUACACUAUGUAUAAGUCGUGGAUUUAGUUUAUGUAUUUUAAUUUGGUUAUUUUUAGUCACUAUACUUUUCAAAAUUUAAAAUUUCAAUCUUCAUCAAACAGUAACCGUUAAAUUUAUUAAGUUAAAUUAUACUAUUUUCAUAAAUAUGAUAUAAAAAAAUAUAUUAUCAUAUUAGCUUGUAAUUUUCAUAUAAUACUCAUAAAAAAGUCACAUUAUUUUAGUUAAUGAAUUUAACUGCUAUCAUUUGAGUCAAGAUUGAAAUAUCAAAUUCAAAAAGCAUAAAGACUAAAAACGAUCAAAUUGACGACCAAAUUAAAGUACAUGAACUAAACUUACAACUUAUGAGCAAUAUAAGGACUAAUAGUGAAAUUUGAACAAAAGAAAACAUGAAAUGAAACAUGCAUACAUACAUACCCUAAGUGCAAGGAAGUGUCUGAGAGAUGGUUGUCAUCAUCUGAUGCACUAUUAUUAUCAUCAGCCUUUGAAUUAUUUGGUGAAUGAUCAAGUCUUCUUUCCAGCAAUGGAUUCAAUUCUAGUAUAUUCGAGCUCCUUUUUUGUCUCAAUUCCUCAACCUUAAAACCACAUUCAAUAAUCAACAAAAUGCAAUAUUACAAACUCCAAAAUCUUAAUAUUAUAUAUAAGCUAAACUACACUGUUAAUCACUCAAUUAUCGGUAAGUUUAUUUUUUGAUUACGCAAUUAUAAAAAGUAACAAAAUUGUCAUGAUUUUGUCCUUUUUGUCAUCCGUUAUUAAAUGGUUAAUGGAAAGAUUACGUGGCAGGUUUUAAAAUUGGCAUUAUAGCGAUUUUAACCCUCAACAUUUAUACAUUGUGUCAAUUUAGUCUUGACUCUAAAAAGUUCAUCUUUCAACAUUUACAUGUAGUGUAAUUUAGUCUUUUUUACAAUUUUACUUUUUUUGUGUGUGUGUGUGACCUUUUAACAACUUAAAAAGCUAAAAAAAUAAAAUUAUCCAGCUAAAUUUUAUCGAAAAUAUAUUAAAUUAACACAUAAUGUCACAAAGAAAAGCAAAAGUACUGCAAAAAAAAAAAGAGACUAAAUUAUAGAAUGUGUAAAUGUUGAGGGUUAAUUUUUUUAGAAUGAAGAAUAAAUUGACACAGUAUAAAUAUCGAGAGUUAAAAUUGCUAUUAUACUAAUUUUAAAAACCAUCAAAUUACCAUUCUGUUAGUGAUUUAACUAUUGGUGACAAAAAAGAUUGAAUAGUUGGAUGAUUAACAAUAUAGUUUACUCUUAUAUAUAUAUAUAUAUAUAUGUAAAUACAUGUGUGUAUGUGUGUAGCAGUUGAUUAUACGUAUGACCUACGUACCUGUUUGCGUAGAUCUUCAUUCUCCAUUACGGUCUUCUGUUCCUGAAAAUAUACAAAUAUUAAACCAGAAAUCAUUAGUAUUAAAUGUUAAUUACAAUUAUUUGAUUGCUAAACAUAUAUGAUUCCUUAUUCUCUUUCAAAAGUAAAUAUUUAUACUCUAAUGUGUAUCUAUAAUUUUGUCUUUUAAGUCGAGGUUUUUAGAUAUUCAGAUGUAUAUAGUGGGUAAUUAAGCAUUGGAUUGACAUACGAUAACCUUUUAUGUCAAAUGUUCAAAUCUGGACUUGAACUAAGAAUAAGUGUCAAAUAUCGAUAUAUGUUAAUAUAGAUGUGAUGAAUUUUUUAAAAUCGAGAAACAUUCCUCUUAUAUAAAUAUUCAAAUUUGUGUCAAACACGUAUAUAAAACAUAAUUACUUUAGAAAAAAUUGGAUUAAUAUGGGGAUAUAAAAUGUACCUGUAAUCGAGAUCUUUUAAGCUGCUCCAUUAGAAUUUGCUCCUACAACAAUAAAACUUCAGUUUCUAGAGCUCACAAUUAGGCUCCUAAUGAAAUUAUUUUAAGUUUGUGUUUGUAGGAGAGUUACUAAAUAUACUAAAAUUAUGUUUGUUUGGAGUUAAUAUUGAUUAAAAUUAGAGAUAAAUUAUGGACGAAAAUAUUAAUUUAUUUUAAAUGAUGAAGCAUAGCAACUUUAAUAAUAUAAAUUAUUGUGAACGCUUAGUUGAAAUGACAAAAUUAAGGUUUUGAAGCUACGGGUAUCCUAAUGAUUUAUUUUGAAUUUAAACUAUUUUUUUAUAGAUUUUAUAUAAAUACAUAAAUGAAAAAUAAAAAAGCAAACUCAUAAUAUUAUUUGUCAUCUUUUAAAUAAAAACCCUUUUUUAAAGUUAUUUUUCAACUAAAUUGAUCUUUAGUUAAACUUGUGGCUUCAACUUAGUUAGAUAACUAUAUAUAUAGUAUAAUUAACAAACAAUAAAAUUGAAAUUCACAUACAUGUAUGCUGUGUGUAGCCUUAAAUACUCCUGUUUCAUGGUGUUCACUUCAAUUCCUUGCAACUUCUGUUUUUUUAACAAAAAAAAAUGCACACACAAUAUUAGAAAUAUAAUUAUUAUUUUCAAUCGAGUCUUAAUUCUGUUGACACCAUUUUUUGGAUGGAAAACGGGGUCGACUUGGGUUUUGAAAAUGAAAACAAAAACGGGAGUCGCCACCAAUCCUUUUUGAUGAGGUGUGAUUGGGUCACCUCGAAGGGUAGUUGUUUUUAAUAAAAGGUUUGAUUUUAUUAAAACAACAAGUUUGGUCUACAAAAUCCAGAAAAAACAGGUUCGGGAGUCGGUUACGCACGAGGAAGGAUUAGCACCCUCGAUACGCCCAAAAUUGGUACCCAGAUGAUUACUUAAUGUCUUAGUGUCGAAGAUUGAAAACUUUAAAGAAAUUUAAAAUACGAUCCUUAAAAAAAACUCGUACGGCAUGGAUUUAAAUUCAAUAAGAUAUUUGGCAAUUUGGUUAAACGAGAAAUCGAAACCCAGCACCUUAGGGCACGUUCCUCGAAUUUCCAAACGCAAAACAUUGCCUUAUUUUGAAAUUUUUAAGAAGGAUAUUAAGCCAUUUAGUUGAACGAGAAAAAUCGACACCCAGCACCUUAGGGCAUGUUUUCUCGAAUUUCUAAACGGCAAAACAUUGCCUUAUUUUGAAAUUUUUGAAAGGAUAUUUAGCUAUUUGGUUGAACGAGAAAAAUCGAAACCCAGCACAUUAGGGCACGUUUUCUCGAAUUUCCAAAAGCUAAACAUUGCCUUAUUUAGAAAAAUUUUCCUUUUUUGAAGUAUGGUGUUAAUAUACAUAAUGGAAUAAUAAAUAUGACAAUUUGAACAAAAAUAAUAUAAGCAAAAAUGAAUAAUAAAAAAAAAACAAAUCAAUCAUGUAUAUACCAUAACGAAUAAAUAAAUAAAUAAACAAACUAAAACAUAAAAAAUGGACAUAUAAAUAAGGACAUAAAUGAAAGAAAAAAUAAAGGAAAAUAUAUGAAAAUUAUAAAAUAUAAAAAAGGUAGGUACAUAUAAGGGAAAUAUGUAUGUAUACGCAUAAAAUUAUGGAAAUAUGAAAUAUAUAUAUAUAUGUAUUUUAAAAUUAUUAAAUAUAAAAUUUUAUGUAAGUGUGGAUAUACAUGUAUAUGUAUAUAAAGUAUAUAUAAUAAGGAAUAUGCAAGCAUGUAUAUAUAUAUAUGAAAAUUAAAAAUAUGAAUUUAAAGAUAUAUAUAUAAAAAAAAUAAGACAUAAAAUAUACAUGCAAGUAAAAACGUAUAUAUAUAUAUAUAAUAAGAUAUAAAGUAUAUAUAUGAAAAUUAAAAUGUUUGUGAAUGUGUAGAUAUGUAUGUAAGUUAUGAAAUAAAAAGGUAAAUUUGUAUAUACAUAAAAAAAUAAAAAGGAGUAAGAAGAAUAUGUGUAUAUAUAUUUAAAAUUAUGAAAUAUAAAAUGUGUAAGUGUGUGUAUAUAAAGUAUAAAUAAUAUGUAAGUAUGUAAAUAAAUAAAUAUAAAUUAUAGGCGUAUGGAUCCUUUAUAAAAAUGUAUGGUGGAUAUAGACGUGUAUAUAUAUAUAUGCAAUUAUAAUAAUGAUAAUAAUAAUAACAACAUCAUUAAAUUUGUCAAUUUUAAAAAUAAACUAACCAAAAUAACGAAAAAGGACUAAUUUGAACUUAAAACAAAAAUCUGGGGGGAAAAUCGCAAAUAAAAUAAGAAAGGAGUGGCCAGGGACCAAAAUAAAACAUGCUUAAAGCGCAAGGGACCUGUUGAGAAAUAUUCCCUUUCACUGAAACGUUGCGUUUCGACCGAGGGGGGGCAUGGUCUAAGGACCAAAUCGAAAUACAAACUAAAUUCACAGGCCGAAUAACAAAUAACCAAAAAGGAUCAGAUCGGCUACUGCACAAAAGCGGAGGGGCCUAUUGCGCAAAUAGCCCCUUUGGCGAAAACACGCGGAUCCCCUGGGUCGGAUCGGGUCGACGCGCGGGUCAAGGCGUGUCAAAACGGCGCCGUUUUGUGUUUACUAUAAAUAUUAAAAAAACCCCAAAAACAAAUCAGUUUCAUCAUUUAAAAAAAACAGAGAGAGAGCUCUCUCCCCUCUCUCUCAGGCCCCAAGUUAGGCCAAGGGUUCUGGCGAUCCUCCGCCAUUGACGGCGUCACGCCGGCCAUCGUACACGGUGGCCGGAAAAUUCAAAGGUAAAAUUUUUCUCUCCUUUUUCUCUCUUUUAUUUUAUAUUAUUGAUAUCUAAAAUAAAUGAAAAAAAUAAGAGAUAAAAAAAUGGGAAUCUAAGAAGAAAAAACCUUUAAACUUGCUUUUUUUGUUUUUUUUUAAUUUCAAACGUUCGUAGCAAAACGAAAGAAGAGAAAACUCUUCUUCUUUUAUAGCAAACUCGGUUUUUUUGCCGAAAAGGAAAAAAAAGAAUCAAAUAAAAAUCCCCCUUUUUACAUGUUCUUAGUUUCGGCUUUUAAAGCCGAUUUACAUGAAAUCCCUAGUCUAUGCCUAUGCCUGUCUCGCUUGCCUUGAUUUGUUUGCAGGGAUCAACGCACGUGGAUGGAAGUGACGGUGGCAGUUGGCGGUGGUUGCUGGCAGAGCAGGUGGGCAGAAGACCAAAAGUCAGAAGACCCUAGGAGCGGUGCCUAGGGUUCUUCUGUUUUCUGCUAGGGUUUUCUGUUUCCUUUUUUUGGUUGGGCCAUUUGGGCUGUUUAAGUUAGUUGGGUAUUGAAAGUUUGGGUUUAAUUUGUUUUGGGUUUGUAUUAGUUUUGAUGGGCUUUGGGCUUGGGGUUUAUUACUGGGCCCGGGCAAAAUGGCCUACAACAGCUGUCCCUCUUUGCUCGUUGUCGUGUAACGAGAAAAGAGCAAAGACCAAGAAAGGCCAACUUUGCCCGGUCUCGCUUGUUUUGGACUCGCUCUAGUGCUUCUCUUCAAGUAGCUUUAUUUCAGUCCACUGUGGCUUGUUGCUUCGCUCUACUCAACUGCACUUCUGAAACCUCUGACUUGUAGCCUCAAUCUUCUUCACAGCAACUUUAGGGGGACAAAGUUUAUGGUUUUAAUUUACUCCACUGCAACUUCAGGGAGAUAAGAUCUGUGGUUUUAAUCCGCUCCGCUGUAACUUCAGGGAGAUAGGAUAGUGUCUUCGAUCUGCUCCGCUGUAACCUCAGGGGGAUAAGAUCUGAAAUUCUUCGGUCUACUCUACUGUAACCUCAGGGAGAUAAGACCUGGUGUGAUCUGCUCUACUGUAACUUCAGAGAGAUAAGAUCCUUUAUUUUAAUCCGCUCCACUGUAACUUCAGGGAGAUAGGAUUAUGUCUUCGAUUUGCUCCGCUGUAACCUCAGGGAGAUAAGAUCUGAAAUUCUUCGGUCUACUCUACUGUAACCUCAGGGAGAUAAGACCUGGUGUGAUCUGCUCUACUGUAACUUCAGAGAGAUAAGAUCCUUUAUUUUAAUCCGCUCCACUGUAACUUCAGGUAGAUAGGAUUAUGUCUUCGAUCUGCUCCGCUGUAACCUCAGGGGGAUAAGAUCUGAAAUUCUUCGGUCUACUCUACUGAAACCUCAGGGAGAUAAGACCUAAUGCGAUCUACUCUACUGUAACUUCAGAGAGAUAAGAUCCUGUCUUCGAUCUGCUCCGCUGUAACCUCAGGGAGAUAAGAUCUGAAAGUCUUCGGUCUACUCCACUGUAACCUCAGGGAGAUAAGACCUGACGCGAUCUACUCUGCUGUAACUUUAGAGAGAUAAGAUCAUUCAUUUUAAUCCACUCCACUGUAAUCUCAGGGAGAUAGGAUUACUAACUUCAAUCUGCUCCGCUGUAAUCUCAGAGAGAUAAGAUCUGAAAUUCUUCAGCCAGCUCCACUACAACCGAGAGAGGUAAGGUUCGUCUUCGACCUGCUUCGCUGUCAAUGCAGGAAGGCAAGAUCUUUUGUCUUCAACCAGCUCCAUCACAACCGAGAGAGGCAAGGUUUGUGUCUUUGACCUAUUUCACCGUCAAUGCAGGAAGGCAAGAUCUUUUGUCUUCAACCAGCUCCAUCACAACCGAGAGAGGCAAGGUUUGUGUCUUUGACCUGCUUCGCCGUCAAUGCAGGAAGGCAAGAUCUUUUGUCUUUAACCAGCUCCACUGCAACCAAUGAAGGCAAGGCUUUGUUUUCGAUCUGCUUUGCUGUUAACGCAGGAAGGCAAGAUCUACUUCUUUAACCAGCUCCACUGCAACCAAUGAAGGCAAGGCUUUGUUUUUGAUCUGCUUCGCUGUUAACGCAGGAAGGCAAGAUCUGCUUCUUUAACCAGCUCCACUGCAACCAAUGAAGGCAAGGCUUUGUUUUCGAUCUGCUUCGCUGUUAACGCAGGAAGGCAAGAUCUGCUAUCUUUAACCAGCUCCACUGCAACUAAUGAAGGCAAGGCUUUAUUUUCGAUCUUCACUGAUCUGUUCUCUGGGAAACAUGACCUGUAUAAUGAACCUAAUUAUGCCUAAAGAUUAGGAUGGAAUGAUCAAAAUGAAUCAAAUGCUCCUAACUAGACAUGUGUGAACGGUGUUUGCAUGAAUGCAAAAUUUUAUUUUUCCGAGAAUGAUCCCGCCGAGGUUGUCAUUACUCGAAGUUUAUUAAGGCUUUGUGACUGACGUGCUACAACGUCUUCUCACUUGACCGACUUCUCCAAAGCAUCACUUCAGUCAGAUUGCCCCCACUGUGAAAUCCACUAGGACACAAAAUUUGUACCAUCAUUCUCCCACUGCAACCCAAUAGUAGAAAUAUGUGGCUUUUCCUCAAUCUUCUCCUAUCACAAUUCAAGGAAACAGGACGCAAAUCAUUCUAGUUUCUCACACCAUUCCCAAGGUGUCAUACUCAUGUGCAAAUAAAUGAUCUCUUCUCCGAGGUAAGCUCUGACUAUUGCCUGAUGAUCAUUGCUUGCUUGUUCAUUUAAGCUUUGUCAUUAACCCGUCAUCUUAUCAUUUUGUUCAAUCAAUGCAUUUGACAAUGAAAUCCAAAGAGAAAGUCCAAAUUUAUACUAUUCCUUCUCAAAUCUCCAACCUUUAAAUUUGGUGUGCUUUAAACGAUAGUCCUGUUUCAGGUUCCUAUAUUAUUUAGAAACUUUUCCGAGUAAUAUACAAAACUUCCUUUGUGAAAGUUUUAUUAGUCCAUUAACCAUUAUUCCAAUGCAACAUGUUUGCAGAAAAGGGUCAUAACAAUGGAUAAGAAUAAAGUUGGUUCUGAGCAUAGCUCGAAAGAACAAAUUAUCAAAAUAGUAAAGAAGGAUGACAAAGAAAUUAAUUGGGAAUGUAUAUCUUGGAAAAGAAAAAAGUAUUCCAAGAACAACAAAUAAUAUGAGAAUUGGGUGCCCCAGAUAUCGCAGCUUGAACUUCUCUGUACAAGCUUUCUGAAGACCAUUUUGAGCUGGACAUGCGUUUAGGAGAUCUACAGUGCUCUGUUGAUGCCCCAAGGUGUCGCCUAUCCUUUCUUGUUGAUUCAGGUAUAGCAAGAUCACCACAUGCCGCAAUAUGAUCAAAAGUCGAAUCGCUCUGGUUGCCUCAUGCCCUAUUCUGAGCAAAUAUUUGAUCCGCCCUUUUCGGGUUUUCAACUCAAAUCCCCUUUGGCCUAAGGCGCCCUUUGCGGGUUUUCCCCUUAGCCUCUCCAUUUUUCAUUUUUUCAUUUUUCAUUGUCAUUUGCCUCUCUCUUUUUUGACUCAAAGUGCCCUUUGCGGGUUUUCACCUUGGUCAUUUCUCCUUCUUUAAACGAAAUAUUUCUUGAUUGGAUCCGAGUUUAUAGGACUAGCAAUCUCACUCAAGAUCAGUGCUCUUCUGAAAAAUGUCUUCUUUACAACGUAGGGACAUUCUCAGUUUGGCAUUCAUUUCCCUCUAGAAUCCUUUUGGAGAGGAAUGAUCUUUUUCGACAUCCAACCCUCUCGUGGAAUUCUCUGAGAUGACACUGUUCAUUAUGGGCUCGUAUCAUUUGUUUUCGGUACAUCCGACCUUGAAGAAUAACUUUUAACAUUUUUCCUAGGUUCAACUGAUCGCAUUGCGAUUGAAUCCAUUCUGCUUCAUCCAAUUCUAGCUCAACUAAUACUCGGAGAGAAAGGAUUUCAAUAUGUGAAACUACCUAAACCCCGCAAACCAAAGAGAAAGCUAUUGCCCCGGUACAGAUGUUCGACAAGCAAUGAAGGCAAAUAGUAAUUUCUCAUGCCAAUCCUUGUAAGUCUCAGUCAUUUUCCUUCAAUUUUCGAUGUUCAACUCUAGGCACUUCAGUGACGAAUCGUGGUGUCCACUUCUGAGUUAAUUUGAGACCUCGGCUAUCGUGCUAUUGUUUGGCUCAUGAAGUAGCCUCUCAAAAUGAAGCAAUGCCCAUUAGAAGUCUUCGAUAAUGGUGAUGUCCAUGCCCCAUUGUGCUCAAAAUUUGAGUCACCCUUUUCGGGUUUUCAACUCAAAGCCUCGUUUGGUCACAAAGCGCCCUUUGCGGGCUUUCGCUUUGGCCUCUUCUUUUAUUUUUCUUUUCUUUUUCAUUCUGAUUUUCUCAUCUAGAUUUCUAUUUUUUAUUCUUCUUUCUUUUUCUCAUUUUCAUUUUGAUCUUGAUAUUGAUUUUUUUCUUCCCUUUUUUUUUAUCUGAGCCUUUUGGGGCACAACUUCGACAAAAAACUUUGGAUCUUCCUUUUUAAUCAGGAUGGACCCAACAAUAACUUGAAGAGAUGAAAAUUCGACUUCAAAUGGGCAAAACUAUGCUGACUUCACGAGAAAGGCAUUGCCCCGGCAAAGAAUUACAUCGUUCAUACUGCAAAUUUCUGACAUCGUGCUGUUGUGUAGAUUUCAUUAUCGACAUUUAACCCGGGCAUAUCCUGGUAUGAUUAUACAAAGAUAUCAUCGAACUCUAGAGGUAACUUGAUGAGGUCUCACUUCAUUUUUGCUGUUUGGUCAAUUCUAAUCUUUGCCAAGCUCACGAUUUCUAAUGAUUCCUUGUGAGGUAGGAUCUAUCUAUCCUCUUGUUCAACCAUCCUUAACAAGUCAGGAGAUAAAUUACAAUCUUUGUCAUUUUCAAAGCCUUGAGAUCCCUCUGAACACAUGCCUCGCUCAAAAGGAAAAUCUGGGUCUGUAGCAGAGUCAUUCACGUAAUUGAUAUCCGGGGACUCAUAAUAAGUACCAAAGAAUAUACAAAAGAAAGUAUAAUAAAUUUAUGAAUAAUUAUUUAUACUAUAUGAUUAUGAGUGAAUGAUGUGAAAGCAAAUCUAAAAGAAUGAAAUAAUCAGAAAUAAUUAUUCAAAAAGAAUGAAAGAAUAUUGGCUCAAAAAGGAAUGCAAAGAUGUAUUUUAUUAGAAUAAUAACGUUCAGACAUUAGCCUAUUUCACAAAGGAAUUUCUAUCGCUUUAGGCUAAAAACAACAGAAAUGUUCUGAACAUUACUCUAAAUAAGCCCUGAUAGCUACAGGAAUUUCUUCCGCAGUCUAAUUGUUUAGAACACUCCAGAAUUCAUAAGGGCUGACAUCUAACAAGGUCCCUUCCCAAUUGUGUCUUCAGACACGUCGUUGAUGUGAACAUUUCCUAACACUUCUUCGUACACCUCAUUCGCCUCGUCAUUAAUAUGAUUGGGCAGUGUAUUUUCUGCACUAGAGGAAUCAUCAAAUUUAACAACGCCCAUACUGAUAAGCCUUUCAAUCAGUUUGUUAAAAGGCAAUGCAAUUCUCUACUGAGUACCCUAAAAUUCUCGAAUGAUAAUCACAUUGCAUGUUCAUAUCAUACCAUUUGGGAUAAGGAGGCUAUAAAGGGGUCAAGUAACGAGGAGCACCAACAUGCGCAUCGAACAAGCUUUGAUACAGCUCCUUAUAUGACAUCGAAAUUGGUGUGACCUGGAGCUUCUCAGUACCUGGUUUCACUCUAGAUUUUUGCUUUAAAAGGCUCUGAUGGCUGGUGGUCUCCGUCUUUGGCAUGCCCACAGUGAUUGGUUUUGAGUGGCCCUUGUUAUAUCCGCCUAUAUUAUCCCUUUUAUUCCCCUUCUUCCUUGGGGCCUUUAUAGUAUUUGGGUACUCUAUCCUCAUCUUCUUUAUUUCGGCUAGAUUAGCAAUAGGAUUAGCUAAAUCAUUCCUCAAAUUGGAUUCUAAGCCUGUCAGACAAUUCACUGGUGUCGAUGUACCAGUCUGAUAAUAUUGGGAUCCGAUAGUAAAAAGUGCUCCUUGUGAACGCCCAUCUGGUUAGACCUAGACACUUGUUGGAGUACAAUAUAUGGAAUAGACAAGAUCCUCAUUAUCAACCCCAAAGUAAACCACCGGGUCUUUCACUUCUUUUGACUUUCCAGCUAGCAAUCGGUUGAACUGGUUUAUCACAGUUCUCCGUAAUUCUAGCAUCUGAUCUCUCAUCUCCUGUUGAAAUUCAGUCAAUUGCUCAUGCAUCUGGAUCUGCAUUCGCUCUAAUUUUUCCAACCUUCGUUCCAUUUCUCUUGCCUUUGCUUGGAUAUCGUAAGGAUGUUUGGUCGGUUGGCUUUCCAGUUUAGCCGAAAUAAAUUUACUCGUUUAGACUCUUUCAAUGGAUUUUAAUGCAUGUAAUGCAAUGUAAUGCAAAUGCAUAAAAUGAAUGCCUAAAGAGACAUUGAUUCUGAUUCAACUACAUUUAGGAAACUUUUCUAGAAAGCAAAUUCCUUUACAUAAAACGGAUACAUGUACGGCCUCACCCUCAUAUUCCAAGAAACAACAUCAGUCUUUUUCUUCAUCCGCAUGUUUGAGGUAAUCUCGCCAAUAGAUGCCAUUGCUAGCUCAUUCUCUUGAUCUUGGUCGCGAUCCAUCAUCUGCCCAUCUUCAUAAGGCUCGUCAGCUUCUUUAAGGGAGUGGAACGUUGAAGGCUCUUAGACAAUUGCCUUGAAUCCUAAGGCCACGAAGCAGGAUCACGAACUCUUCCAUCUCCAUUCUUGUGUUUCUCAGAAUAUAUUCGGGAAGUCGUAUUGUUUUCCACUUUAUCAAGGAAUUCGUAUUCCAUGACAAGCUUUCUAAUUUAGUAAUCGAACUUGAAUCAAUAUCUCUUUCUUAAGAUGCAAAUGCAAUGUAAUGCAAUCAUAAUCAAAACACAACAAGAAGGGUUAGAACAAAACAUAAGCAAGCAUGGGAAAAAAAAACCUAAUCAGGUAAAUACUAGGGAUUUGGAGUGGCUCUACCUAGGUUAAAUUCCUAAGUCCACUAUAUGAGGGUUGGUUCUAAAGAUAAGGUACCCGAACCAGCAAAUUCCUCGAUCUUCACCCAUUAUAAGCUCAUACAGACCGAGUUCGGUUCAGGGGAAUACAUUUCCCUAUGGCUGCACGGAGAUGAAAAUCUCACGAAGACAUAGGUACGGAUGUAUCCCGGAAGUGAUCCACUAUCCUGCACGGAGGUGAAAACCUCACGAAGGACUAGCUUCUCACUCCCACUUAAGAAGGUGUGACCAACGGUCAUGCAAUGCAAUGCAGAAAGGCAUAAAAAAAAUUUAAAAUACAAAAUAAGAUGAAAACUAUAACUCAAAACAAAUGAAAUGCAAUGAGUGGAUCAUAUAUUUAAAUCACAUUUUCAACUUUCGACAAAAAGACAAGAAAUAAUCAACUCGUGGCUUGACUCUCUUAUUUUGGGUCCCCAGUGGAGUCGCCAAGCUGUUGACACCAUUUUUUGGAUGGAAAACGGGGUCGACUUGGGUUUUGAAAAUGAAAACAAAAACGGGAGUCGCCACCAAUCCUUUUUGAUGAGGUGUGAUUGGGUCACCUCGAAGGGUAGUUGUUUUUAAUAAAAGGUUUGAUUUUAUUAAAACAACAAGUUUGGUCUACAAAAUCCAGAAAAAUAGGUUCGGGAGUCGGUUACGCACGAGGAAGGAUUAGCACCCUCGAUACGCCCAAAAUUGGUACCCAGAUGAUUACUUAAUGUCUUAGUGUCGAAGAUUGAAAACUUUAAAGAAAUUUAAAAUACGAUCCUUAAAAAAAACUCGUACGGCAUGGAUUUAAAUUCAAUAAGAUAUUUGGCAAUUUGGUUAAACGAGAAAUCGAAACCCAGCACCUUAGGGCACGUUCCUCGAAUUUCCAAACGCAAAACAUUGCCUUAUUUUGAAAUUUUUAAGAAGGAUAUUAAGCCAUUUAGUUGAACGAGAAAAAUCGACACCCAGCACCUUAGGGCAUGUUUUCUCGAAUUUCUAAACGGCAAAACAUUGCCUUAUUUUGAAAUUUUUGAAAGGAUAUUUAGCUAUUUGGUUGAACGAGAAAAAUCGAAACCCAGCACAUUAGGGCACGUUUUCUCGAAUUUCCAAAAGCUAAACAUUGCCUUAUUUAGAAAAAUUUUCCUUUUUUGAAGUAUGGUGUUAAUAUACAUAAUGGAAUAAUAAAUAUGACAAUUUGAACAAAAAUAAUAUAAGCAAAAAUGAAUAAUAAAAAAAAAAACAAAUCAAUCAUGUAUAUACCAUAACGAAUAAAUAAAUAAAUAAACAAACUAAAACAUAAAAAAUGGACAUAUAAAUAAGGACAUAAAUGAAAGAAAAAAUAAAGGAAAAUAUAUGAAAAUUAUAAAAUAUAAAAAAGGUAGGUACAUAUAAGGGAAAUAUGUAUGUAUACGCAUAAAAUUAUGGAAAUAUGAAAUAUAUAUAUAUAUAUGUAUUUUAAAAUUAUUAAAUAUAAAAUUUUAUGUAAGUGUGGAUAUACAUGUAUAUGUAUAUAAAGUAUAUAUAAUAAGGAAUAUGCAAGCAUGUAUAUAUAUAUAUGAAAAUUAAAAAUAUGAAUUUAAAGAUAUAUAUAUAAAAAAAAUAAGACAUAAAAUAUACAUGCAAGUAAAAACGUAUAUAUAUAUAUAAUAAGAUAUAAAGUAUAUAUAUGAAAAUUAAAAUGUUUGUGAAUGUGUAGAUAUGUAUGUAAGUUAUGAAAUAAAAAGGUAAAUUUGUAUAUACAUAAAAAAAUAAAAAAGAGUAAGAAGAAUAUGUGUAUAUAUAUUUAAAAUUAUGAAAUAUAAAAUGUGUAAGUGUGUGUAUAUAAAGUAUAAAUAAUAUGUAAGUAUGUAAAUAAAUAAAUAUAAAUUAUAGGCGUAUGGAUCCUUUAUAAAAAUGUAUGGUGGAUAUAGACGUGUAUAUAUAUAUAUAUGUGCAAUUAUAAUAAUGAUAAUAAUAAUAACAACAUCAUUAAAUUUGUCAAUUUUAAAAAUAAACUAACCAAAAUAACGAAAAAGGACUAAUUUGAACUUAAAACAGAAAUCUGGGGGGAAAAUCGCAAAUAAAAUAAGAAAGGAGUGGCCAGGGACCGAAAUAAAACACGCUUAAAGCGCAAGGGACCUGUUGAGAAAUAUUCCCUUUCACUGAAACGCUGCGUUUCGACCGAGGGGGGGCAUGGUCUAAGGACCAAAUCGAAAUACAAACUAAAUUCACAGGCUGAAUAACAAAUAACCAAAAAGGAUCAGAUCGGCUACUGCACAAAAGCGGAGGGGCCUAUUGCGCAAAUAGCCCCUUUGGCGAAAACACGCGGAUCCCCUGGGUCGGAUCGGGUCGACGCGCGGGUCAGGGCGUGUCAAAACGGCGCCGUUUUGUGUUUACUAUAAAUAUUAAAAAAACCCCAAAAACAAAUCAAUUUCAUCAUUUAAAAAAAAACAGAGAGAGAGCUCUCUCCCCUCUCUCUCAGGCCCCAAGUCAGGCCAAGGGUUCCGGCGAUCCUCCGCCAUUGACGGCGUCGCGCCGGCCAUCGUACACGGUGGCCGGAAAAUUCAAAGGUAAAAUUUUUCUCUCCUUUUUCUCUCUUUUAUUUUAUAUUAUUGAUAUCUAAAAUAAAUGAAAAAAAUAAGAGAUAAAAAAAUGCGAAUCUAAGAAGAAAAAACCUUUAAACUUGCUUUUUUUGUUUUUUUUUUUAUUUCAAACGUUCGUAGCAAAACGAAAGAAGAGAAAACUCUUCUUCUUUUACAGCAAACUCGGUUUUUUUUGCCGAAAAGGAAAAAAAAGAAUCAAAUAAAAAUCCCCCUUUUUACAUGUUCUUAGUUUCGGCUUUUAAAGCCGAUUUACAUGAAAUCCCUAGUCUAUGCCUAUGCCUGUCUCGCUUGCCUUGAUUUGUUUGCAGGGAUCAACGCACGUGGAUGGAAGUGACGGUGGCAGUUGGCCUUGAUUUAUAAUGUAGAGCUCGAUUUUGAUAUAAAAAUUUACUGAAGUUCGUUAUAUUAGAUUCGUUUGCCAAAUAAAAUGAAAAAAAAGGGUCAAAUUCUAUUAUUAAUUCUUACACUAUGUAUAAGUCAUGGAUUUAGUUUAUGUAUUUUAAUUUGGUUAUUUUUAGUCACUAUACUUUUCAAAAUUUAAAAUUUCAAUCUUCAUCAAAUAGUAACUAUUAAAUUUAUUAAGUUAAACUAUACUAUUUUAAAAAAUAUGAUAUAAAAAUUAUAUUAUCAUAUUAACUUGUUAUUUUCAUAUAAUACUCAUAAAAAGGUCACAUUAUUUUAGUUAAUGAAUUUAACUACUAUCGUUUGAGUCAAUAUUGAAAUAUCAAAUUUGAAAAGCAUAAAGACUAAAAAUGAUCAAAUUGACGACCAAAUUAAAGUACAUGAACUAAACUUACAACUUAUGCGUAAUAUAAGGACUAAUAGUGAAAUUUGACCAAAAGAAAACAUGAAAUGAAACAUGCAUACAUACGUACCCUAAGUGCAAGGAAGUGUCUGGGAGAUGGUUGUCAUCAUCUGAUGCACUAUUAUUAUCAUCAGCCUUUGAAUUAUUUGGUGAAUGUUCAAGUCUUCUUUCCAGCAAUAGAUUCAAUUCUAGUAUAUUCGAGCUCCUUUUUUGUCUCAAUUCCUCAACCUUAAAACCACAUUCAAUAAUCAACAAAAUACAAUAUUAUACACUCCAAAAUCUUAAUAUUAUAUAUAAGCUAAACUACACUACUAAUCACUCAAUUAUCGGUAAGUUUAUUUUUUGAUUACCUAAUUAUAAAAAGUUACAAAAUAGUCAUGAUUUUGUCCUUUUUGUCAUCCGUUAUUAAAUGGCUAAUGGCUAAUGGAAAGAUUACCUGGCAGGUUUUAAAAUUGGCAUUAUAGCGAUUUUAACCCUCAACAUUUAUACAUUAUAUCGAUUUAGUCUUGACUCUAAAAAGUUUAUCUCUCAACAUUUACAUGUAGUGUAAUUUAGUGUUUUUUACAAUUUUUUUUGUGUGACCUUUUAACAGCUUAAAAAAUAAAUUUAUCCAGCUAAAUUUUAUCAAAAAUAUAUUAAAUUAACACUCAAUGUCACAAAAAAAGCAAAACUGCAAAAAAGACUAAAUUAUAGAAUGUGUAAAUGUUGAGAGUUAAAUUUUUUAGAAUGAAGAUUAAAUUGACACAGUAUAAAUGUUGAAAGUUUAAAUUGCUAUUAUGCCAAUUUUAAAAGUCAUCAAAUUACCUUUCUGUUAGUGAUUUAACUGUUGGUGACAAAAAAAAAAAUUCAACAGUUGGGUGAUUAACAAUAUAGUUUACUCUUAUAUAUAUGUAAAUACAUGUGUAGCAGUACGUACCUGUUUGCGUAGAUCUUCAUUCUCCAUUAUAGUCUUCUGUUCCUGAAAAUAUACAAAUAUUAAACCAGAAAUCAUUAGCAUUAAAUGUUAAUUACAAUUAUUUCAAAAGUAAAAUGUACCUGUAAUCGAGAUCUUUUAAGCUGCUCCAUUAGAAUUUGCUCCUACAACAAUAAAGCUUCAGUUUCUAGAGCUCACAAUUAGGCUCCUAAUGGAAUUAUUUUAAGUUUGUGUUUGUAGGAGAGUUACUAAAUAUACUAAAAUUAUGUUUGUCCUGGAUAUCCAUUAAUCUUUUCUGUAUUUCUAAUAUACAUGCUAGAUAUAUAUACUAAAAUUAUAUAUUUAUAUAAUAUGAGAAGAUUAUAUAUAUAAAUAUAAUUUGUAGGAAUAUUAAUGUCAGUACCUUUUGUUGCUCAACUGAUGCUAUCCCUUCGUUUAAUUGAUUCUCCAGCUGUUUUAAUUCUUUGAAACUCAAAUCAUCUAGUUCUUUUCCAUUAAGCCUCCUGCAAAUCACACCUCAAAUUUUACUUAAUCAAAUACUUAUUUAUUUAUUUAUUUACGUAUUAACACCUAUCACUUGUAUUUUAUACAUAUUCAGAUAUAUGUAUGAAAAUGUAAUUUCACAUUUUAUUUACCAUUCACAUUUAAAUCCAAAUAACAUAGAUUCGAAGAUUUAUUUCUAACUCAUUAGUUAUUAUUUGUAAUUUCUUUCAUUUUCCUUACCAUUUUUUUUUAUUGUGAAUGCUUAGUUGAAAUGACAAAAUUAAGGUUUUGAAGAUACGGGUAUCCUAAUGAUUUAUUUUGAAUUUAAACUAUUUUUUUAUAGAUUUUAUAUAAAUACAUAAAUGAAAAGACAAAAAGCAAACUCAUAAUAUUAUUUGUUAUCUUUUAAAUAAAAACCCCUUUUUAAAAUUAUUUUUCAACUAAAUUGAUCUUUAGUUAAACUCGUGGCUUCAACUCAGUUAGAUAAUUAUAUAUAGUAUAAUUAACAAACAAUAGAAUUGAAAUUGGCAUACAUGUAUGCUGUGUGUAGCCUUAAAUGUUCCUGUUUCAUGGUGUUCACCUCAAUUCCUUGCAACUUCUGUUUUUUUAACAAAAAAAAACACACACACGAUAUUAGAAAUGUAAUUAUUAUUUCGAUCAAGUCUUAACUCAACUGAUAUUGACAUUGACAUCAAUAUAUAUAUAUAUACCUCAGCUUGUUGCUCAUCAAAAGGGUGUUCUAGAGAAUGCUCUUCUUCCAUUCCUUUGUUGUACCUUGAAAGAGUGUGUUCCAUGCUACAUUCAUAAAAUGUCAUGUUUAAAAAAAAACAAUAAAUUAAAAAUAAAAAUCUAACUCAUUAUUAGGGUUUAGGAUUUUUUUUAACCUAUAUUGUUUGGACUUGAGCCGAUCAAAUUUAUGACAAGUUAUUCUUAGCUUAUCGUAACUAUUUAUGUAUCAUUUUUGUUUUAAUAUGAGUAUGUGUUGUUGUGUUUUAGUAUAUAGUUUCGUAUUUAUCAUUUUUUUAAAUAUUAUAUAUAUAAUAUACUUGCAAAUAUUUCUUAAUUAUAAUAUGUAAAUAUAAAAUAUAAAAUUAUUAAUUAAGAAAGGUUAUAUAUUAUUUUUUAAAGCAAUUAUAUAAAAAAAGUAGUUAAGAAAGAAAAGGGAAAUAUUAAAAAUUCCUUUAUAGGAAUUAAUACUCACCGAUACAAGCAUAUAUUAAUUGAAAUGAAUCAAAACUCAAUGAAAUUUUAAUUGAAGUGAAACUUAAACUAUUUUACUCUAGUUCAAUAUCGAGGCGAUUCAUAACGAUUGAUACAACUAGUAUCGAAACUACCGACUACCAUACCACAAAGCAAAAAGAAAAAUAAUGGAAAUCAAUCAAAUUACAACUCAACUUACUUUCAUGCUUAGAAAAAAAACUGUUCUAAAAAAUAAUCAUCCAAGAAAAUAAAUAUAUAUAAGUUGUAUAGACCGUUACAAACUAAUAUACACUCAUAUAAGUCGAUAUUAACUAAAACAAAUCAAAACACAAUAAAAUUUUAAUAUAUUAAUUCAAUAUUGAGACUAUAGCCAAUUAUUAAGAAAAGAAAAAUAAUGGAAAUCAAUCCAAUUAUAGGUCAACUUACUUUCAUGCUUACAAAAAAGAAAAAGCUUCGAUUAUUAAAAAUCAUCUACAAUAUAUAUAUAUAUAUAUAUAUAUAUAAGUAUUAUACUAUAUUAUGUACCUAGUGCUGGACCAUUGAUAGACCUUGCCGGUGCUUGAAAAAAUAAUAACCCCAACCUCUGCAUCACAUAAAAUGGACAAUUCUUUAGCUUUCUUCAACAACCCAUUUCGCCUCUUUGAAAACGUUACUUGCCUGCUAUUCAAAUUUUCAAUCUUUUUUAUUUCAAUUUUCCCUCUACCCAUCUCAAAAUUUUCUUCUUUCCUUUACUUUUUCCCGGAAAAUUUUUAAAAGACCCCAGAUUUUUUUUUCUUAAAUUUUGAAUAAAAAACCAAAGGUUUUUAUAACAACAAACAGAUCAAAGAAAAUAAGGCAAAAAAUUUAGGGGAUUGUAAAAGGAUUCUUUUUUUAAGAGAAAAGAAAAUAAGUAAGUAAUGUUUAUAUAUAACAAUUGUUUUCUUAAAUGGAAAUGGAAAAUGAUAUGGAAAAAGAAAAUAUGUGACCAAAAUUAGGGUGAAAUCUUGAAAGGUGACAGAUUUGAUUCUAUAUCUAGCAAUUAUCCAACUAUGGAAACUCUAUUUAUUAUAGCUUUAGUUUUUUUUUUCUUUCUAUUUAUCUUAAUUUCUCUACCUUUUUAAUCUGCUGUUUUUGGCAUUUCAACUCAAAAUGGAUUUGAUUUUUGCUUUGGGUUUCUUUUUUUAAAUAUAAAAAGUGGGUUUUAAUUAUUUAUAUAUUAUUGUGCUUUAAUAAUUUUUUUUAGUGAAUAUUGAUUUUUUUUUUGAAUUACAAUAGGAGAGUAAAGUCCUAAUAACAACACGACUAGAGCGAUUAGAAUUUAGCCACACUUGAGACAUUGAACACAAGUAUUUCACGAGGACAUAUAACACAUGUUUUUUAAAUUCAUGGCUAAAAUAAUAAUAAAAAUCUCUUUAUUUUAUUGUAUUCAAAUAAUAAUAAAAACCAUGGUUUUAGUUGUAUCGGCCUGUGCCAUUGUUUUACUGUUAUAAUGCAACAAGCAACACUAAUGAAAAUUUUGGUUUGUACCGUUCGCAUUGGCCAGAAUAUGAUACACCUGCUACUGCAUGAAUAAUAUUAAAAAAUAUAAAACUAUUAACUAUUUUCUAUUAGACUAAAUAUUUAAUUGAAAUGUAUUGACCAAUAAAAAAAUAUUAUACUAUAAAGUAAAGUUUAACAUUUAAAACUAUUUUUGGAGCAUACUUUUUCAUUUAAAAUAUAAAAAUUAAAAUAUAACAAAAAAAAACCCACUCACCUCGUUAUCAUAGAAAAAUAUUCACUCGCCCUUCAGCUUUUUUUUAUUGAAAAAACCCCCUCAUCCUUCGAUUUAUUUUUUCUUCUUAAUUUUGAAUUUAUUGAAUGAUGAGUUUUUACUUGUAGAGUUUAUUAAUCAAUAUUUUAUAUAAUUGAUGAAUAGUUUUAUAUUAAAAAUUAUUUAUAAUAAUUUAUUUGAUAUUUGUAUAUUUAUUUAUGUAAAUAUAUUAAAUAUUUUAAAAAAUAUCGAUAAAUUUAAAAUGGCACAUAAAAUAGACUAGUAUCAAUACAUAACGAUUCUCAUAAAAAAGUGGUGCUUACACCAAUGUGUUAAUGGCUACCUUUGAAAGCAAGUAUGUGGGUGGCUAUAAUGUUUGAUGCUUUGUUUUCUUUGAAUAUUUUGCUUUGAUGCUUUUGAUCUGUGCUGAUCUUUUGAGUGCAACCAUUGGGAUAUAUAUGGCUAUAUGAAUUUUUAUGAUUUGCUAUGCAUUGAUUGUGGUUGUUUUAUUAAUAAAUUUAUGUUUUGGAUUGAGAAAAAAAAUUCGAAACACAAAAAGAAAGUAGAGAAAGUGAACACAAUGAUAUACGUGGUUCGGGAAUAUUCCCUACAUCCACGGGCAGAACCAAAAAUGAAAUUCACUACUAAAAAUUGGAGAUUACAAUGGAAUUACAUCAUAAAAUAAAUUACCUCGCCAAUAACUAUCCACAAACUUUGAAUGGAUUCAUGGUCUGAGAAAUUCGGAAAACUAAGAUGGACAUCUUUGAGAUUGGAUAGAACAAUAUUUUGGGAACUUUGUCGUCUUACAUGUGUCAAAUUGAGCUCUCUAAUGCCAUGUUGUAACGUGUACUAUAUCCCUCCAUUAAUCCUGGAAGGAUCAAACUAUCACGUAAAAGACUUGUUCUUCUGAAAAACCAUUGGUUAAUAGUACUACGAAAUGUCAAAUAUUUUUAACUAAAGAAUCCCAUUCUCAUAUACCAAAAUAGCUUAGAAAUUAGAAGAUGCAAAUGAAAACAGAACAUUCAAUUUGCUGAAUAAAUGUUGCAGAGAAUUGACUAACCGCUUUACUAAAUCAAAUAAGCUGAAGCAGAUGAGUUGAAGUUCACUAUUUUUCGCCAAUUUAGUGUCUGCAAAAAUUGAAUACAAAAUAUAUAAGACUCGUUUCUGUUAUCAUGUUGUUCAUGAGGUCAAUCAGAUAUAUAAAAAAUAAAGCUAUGAAAUUUAUAAAUGUUUAAAAUGCGUUUCACACCUGUGCUUUGAGUGUGGAGAAAUCGAUACCAGAUUUUGCUGCUUAAAUUUCAAUACCUCGGGAUGACUAUAUUCUUAUCAAUUUGAACAUAAGGUAUGUGGGAAAUCUUGGACCACUCUCGUCCUUUACCCCUAUUGCACCCUUCUUCUAGCAACGGGCAACGCUGAAUAGAUAGACGCUCAAGCGAGAGAAGCAUAACUUUUUCUGGAAGAGAGGCGAGCUUAGGACAAUCAUAGAUGCCCAAUUUUUGAAGAGAGGUGAGGUGUUGUAAGCCCUUGGAGCACAUGAAUUCCAAAUUUUCAAAUCUACGGAUGCUGAUUUCGGUGAGAGAAGGAGGCAGCGCCAUUCCUAUCCCUUCUUCUGGAAACGACACCACAUUUGAGCAUCCUUCACCGCUGAUGUUGAGUCGCUGAAGAGAGGUAAGUCUGUUAAAUCCCCAUUGAACAAGUGAUGUAUAAAUUUUGGGUGCGUUUGAGAUUGCAAGUGAUGUGAGGUUGGCAGGGAAACCCUCUUCUGGAAAGGAUAUGUCAGCCGAACAAUAAGACACCUUCAAUUCUCGAAGGGAGGUGAAGUUGUUGAUGCACUUGGGAAGGACUCCAAAAUUUUCACAAUUCUCAAUUGCGAAAACUCUGAGAUUUGUCGUGGGCAACCCACUUUCUUCAAAUGAAACCAGAUUUGGACACCUAGAUAAUUUAAUCUCCUGAAGAUGGCUGAGCUUGUCUAAUCCCCGCGGUAAUGAUUUAAUUUUUUCAGCACCACGAAUGCCAAUGCUUUCGAGAUCAAUGGUUUCAAAGAAGUCUUGGGCUAUGCAUUCCAACACUGGACAAUCCCAAAUAAAUAGCUGUUUAAGCAUUACGGGUAACUUGGCGUUUAAAAAUAACCUAGUUAGCUUUGAACAACUUUCAAUUUCGAGAUGUUGAAGUCGAUUGCAUAUAUCGCCCCUUGAUAAUAACCAUAUUAGAGAUGGACAGCUUCUUAUUACUAAGUGCUCAAGAAGACAAGUGUUGCUAUUCGCACUCUUAUUAUUAUUUUCUUUUUCAUCAACCAAAUAUUGCAAAUUCACGCAAUUCCCAAUCCUCAGCUCUUUUAAUGCAGGAGGAAAGUUACUCUCUGCAAAACAAACCAUGCCUGGACAGCUUUCAAGUUGUAUUCUUGUAAUGAAUGGGAAAGCAUGUAAGGCUUCUGGUAGUCUAUUGAGCCUUUCACAAUUCCUUAUGUUCAGAGAUUCAACACCUGGAAUCUUGUCAAGUUGCAAUCUCUCCUCCUCUGUUUCCAAAGAGACCAAUUGGGGACAAUCCACAAUACUAAUAAAACGAUGCCCGACUAAUCUUAACCCAAUUUGCGAUAAAGAUCCCAACUCCUUCCAACCAGAGAUGACCAAUGUUUCGGAGUUUGCAAACCUCAACAUUAUCCUCUCUGCUGAAAUGUUAAAAUUUGAAAUAUUUGAAACACACAAACUUUUAAAGGAGGUAACCUUCUGUACGGACAAAGAACCUUCAUCCACCAAUUCUUCACACCCUUCAACCCAUAUUUUACGCAGCAAGGGAAAACAAGAAAUUGAAACUACCAGUCUCUUACAGUUGUAGAUUUGAAGCGUCUGCAAGGAUUGAAGGAUGGUUGGCAACCUUCCCAGCAAUAGAGGACAAUGUCUGAUUGAAAGAGAACGAAGGCUGGGGAAUUUCGAUACUUGCUCAUCAUCUUCACAUAGGUCCCACUCCUCCCAAUUCAGCAUAUUGCGAAAAUGCAGAGACUCUAAUGAUGCAAAAGUAUUUGAUUGAUUUUCUCCAAACAUCUCAGCACCAAUCUUGUGUACUUGAUCCAAACCACUAAUUGAAAGAUCUUUUAACAACAACAACCUUCCAAUCGAUGGUAGAGAUUUGCAAUUUUUACAGUCGUGAAGCUCCAAUGACAACAUAUUUUUGAAGGAAGGAUCUGCAAUCCAAGUAGAGAAUUUUGCACCACCAUAAUUCUCAAUGACGAGUUGCUCAAGCUUUUUCGAAGGAUGAAGAGAAUCUAACACCCAUUCUUCAACUUCUUUUUUCCUUGAAGCAUUUUCAAACUUUUUCCUCCAAUGCAAUACCAGUCGAUCAAUCCCCUGCUUCUCAUAUAACUUGCUUUCCCCUGCAUCUUCACCAUUAACAUUCUCCAACCCAGAAAGAAGGAAAUCACCUUUGAGGUUUGACAAAUAUUUCAAACCUCUAAUAUAACUACCAUCACCUUCCCCUAUUAUAAAAUCAGUUAACCUUUGAAGUUUCGUUAGCUUAUCAAUUCUAAAAGGCAUCCUUUCUAUUAAGCGGGCACCUCUGAUAUCAAGAUAAUGCAAGUUGACAAGAUUUUCCAUCUUUGAAGGUAACCUUUGAAGCCUGGAACAGCAAUUUAAUAAUAAAGUUUCCAAAUGGUAAAGAGUGCACAAAGAAUCAGGUAAGCAUUUGAUAUGGGUGUCAGAAAAAUUUAAGUAGCGAAGAUGUUUUAAAUUUUCAAAAACAUCAGGCAACUCGGUGAUUUGAUACCCACUCAAAGAAAGCAUCCUUAAGCAGCCAAGUCUUGGUAACAAAUCAUCCAAAACAACAUUAGUUAAAAAACGCCCCCGAUAAUCACUAGAAAACUUUAAGGGUAGAAAAGUACGUAAAGAAGUCACUUGAUCAAAUGCUUCAAACUUCUUCACUGUGUCAUAAUCACUGACAAGAUAAGAAGAAUGUCGAGUGCGAUUUGAGAACUUCCAUUUCUUAUCACCCUCUAAUUUUGAGCAUAUUUCCCCUGCAACUACUUGAGCUAAAUCAUUGAUAAGGUCAUGCAUUACGAAUCGGGACUUAUCUUUACUGGAUGCCUGAAAAAAUGACCUCAACACUAGAUCUUGAAAAUAUUGAUUUCCGAGAUCUUUAAUUUGAGGCAUAGCUUUUUGUUGCAAGAGACCUUCUGCUCUCCAUAACAAGAUAAUUUCUUCUUCCCCAAAUUCAUAAUCUUUAGGAAGUAUGGAGCAAUAUGCAAAACACCGUUUCAAGUAUGACGGAAGAUGAUGGUAGCUUAACCGCAAAGCUGGAAUUAUGCCACACUGCUCUUCUGGUAAGUUCCAUAUCUCACUCUCAUAUAUUCUUUCCCAUUUUCCAUGAUAUUUAACCGUGCGAAGCAAGCUUCCAAUGGCUUUUGCAGCCAAAGGUAAGCCAUUGCACCUUCUAACAAUUUUCUCUCCAAUUUCUUUAAACUGGAGAUGUCCAUCGAAAUUUCUUGCUUUUAAUGCAUGCUGUGUAAAUAUGGAUAAACAAUCAUCAUCCGAUAGUUUAUCCAAAUGAAAAGCUUUGAGCGGAUCCACAAUAGAUGAAACCAUUUGAAGACGAGUGGUUACAAUGAUAUGGGUCCCUGCUCCAAACGGAGACCGUAAGAUGGUCCAAUCAUUAUAAUUCUCGUUCCAAAUGUCAUCUAAAACAAGCAAGAAUCUUUUCCCAGACAACUUCUCCUUCAACUUAACUUGAAGUAAAUUCAAGUCAUUCUCGUCACGAGAGUCAGGAUCGAUGGAUUUUAAAAUUGUCCUGGUUAUAUUAACUGCGUCAAAAUGAUCAGAAACGCAUACCCAGGCCUUGUGGUGAAAAGACUGGUUGAUGGUGGCAUCAUUGUAAACAAGCUGAGCAAGAGUUGUUUUACCCAUCCCUCCCAUGCCGACGAUGGAAAGGACUGAAACUCCGUUGGAGUUAUCACCUUUGAGAAACUCAAUCAUUUCUGUCUUCUCCUUGUGUCUGCCAACAUACUCCACAACUCCAUCCAGUACGGAAGUUGGUUGCAGCCUAGGUUGCUUUCCCUUGGAGGUUGCAGCUUGAGACAAAAUCUCACUCAACCCCAAACUACUUCUUCGUGUAGUCAAACUAUUCAGUGUAUCAGUGAUGUCUUUCACCUUCGUGAUCAUGGAAUUAUUAAACUGAAAAGAAGUGGGAGGGAAAAUACUACGAAUAAUCCUUUCAGGAAUGAAUUUCCGGACCUUACUAGGUCUGGCUUGAGCUUGAGUGUCUUGGAGAUUGAGGCGUAACUCUUCAUAAGCGAACUCGUCCAAGAUGUCAUCCACAUCGUAAGCCAAGUCCUGGAGAUCCUCCAACCAUUUCUUCACACCCAUGUUCUUGAUCUGCUUCUCCUCUGCAUCGUCCAACACUGCUUGGAUAUCAGACAAUAUGGACUGCCACUGCUUGAGCUGCUGGUGGAGUUGCUUAUGAUCAGCAACAAAGUUGAGCGCAGAGUCGAGCGAUUUGCCCACCAACAG
rnacentral:lncRNA from 1 species